AAGUUUUUUGUUUAACUGUAUAUUUAUUAUAUCAACUGUCUAAAAACCAUUUAACAAAUUAAAAUGAUGAUGUUUAUGGAUGUUUGAUAUUUUGAAUGGGCAGGUGGGGAAACCAAGUAUGUGUUACACAAAAUUGAAUCAAUUGAUGAGGCAAACUUGGGAUAUAACUACAGCAUAGUUGGGGGAGUUGGGUUGCCAGACACAGUAGAGAAGAUAUCUAUUGAAACCAAAUUAUUUGAAGGACCCAAUGGAGGANNNNNNNNNNNNNNNNNNNNNNNNNNNNNNNNNNNNNNNNNNNNNNNNNNNNNNNNNNNNNNNNNNNNNNNNNNNNNNNNNNNNNNNNNNNNNNNNNNNNCCAAUGAAGAAGAGGGAAAGGCUGCCAAGGCAAGAGGUGAUGCUUUUUUCAAGGCCAUUGAGAGUUACCUUUCUGCCCAUCCUGAGUACAACUAAAUUGAAUUCUAUUAGUGAAGAAGAGUUUCCUUAUAUAAAGUUUUCUUCCAUGUUAUCCGGUUUGUGCUUUUAAGUUUGCCUCUUAUGUAAUGAUUAAUAAGUGCUCUUCUAUUCUCUUUCCUUUUUCUACAAAAGUGUGAGAUUAUGUGAGUUUGUAUUUCAUUUCAUCAAUAAAUCAAUACAAAAAAAUUACAAGCACCUUCGUAAUCAUGAUGGUUAAAAUCGAAAUUUUACUUAAGAUUGGGAUGGAGUCAAAUAUCAUAAAUGUAUGAUCAUAACAUGAUUCAUAAGAUUUUAUUAUUAAUAUAUACAUAUAAACUCAUAUAGUAAAAAAUCUCAUAUUACAACCCAAACCUUAUUUUUUGAUAUACUUGCUUAAUAGGAUAAAUUAGUAAAAUGACCACUAUUUUAAAGAAUAAAACUACAAUUUUAAAAAAGCUCAUAUAACAACCCAAUUUNNNNNNNNNNNNNNNNNNNNNNNNNNNNNNNNNNNNNNNNNNNNNNNNNNNNNNNNNNNNNNNNNNNNNNNNNNNNNNNNNNNNNNNNNNNNNNNNNNNNUGAAAUAAUCAUUAUUUUAAAGAAUAAAACUAAGAUGGUAAAAAAGCCCAUAUUAGAGUACAUUCCUAAAUAACCCACAUUUUAAAGAAUAAAAAGAUUGCAAAAUACACAUUAUUACAUACAACCCAAACCUUAUUUUUCCUAGGGUUGCCAAUUACGGUUCCUAACUUUUCCCUCCGGUCGUUUUCAUUCCUCCUUUCAUUUCAAACAUGUCAUGGUAGCUAUAUGUUGGAUCUCAUGAUGAGAAGAAGAAGGUUCGAUGUUUUUUUGCUCCAUGUUUCUAUCUUUCUACUUCAUUUAUGCAUCUUAUGAAUUAGUAAAAGAAGUUUGUUGGAUUGAGAGGGAGGAAGAUGGAAAAAGCUGGAAGAGAAGAUUGAGUAUAAGAUCGAUGGGAUCAUGAAUUCAAUUGAUCCCACUUUCCAACAUGGUGAUCUCACACGAUCUCGGGGAAACAUGCCCAAAACUGAGAUAGGUUUAUUCCAUGUAAUAUAAUUUUCUUCCAUGUUAUAUCUAGUUUGUGUUUUUAUGUUUGCUUUCUAUGUAAUGAUCAAUAAGUGCUCUUCUCUUUCCUUUGUCACAUUCCAUGUGUUUGUAUCUCAUUUCAUCAAUAAAUUAAUAAGAAAAUUACAAACAUCAUCUCACUGGUUAAAAGAUUUUAAAUUUUAUUUCAUAUAAGGAAAAUCAAAUUUAAGCUAGACAUGAAGAAACAUGAAUACUUGAAUAUUGGAGUUUUUAUNNNNNNNNNNNNNNNNNNNNNNNNNNNNNNNNNNNNNNNNNNNNNNNNNNNNNNNNNNNNNNNNNNNNNNNNNNNNNNNNNNNNNNNNNNNNNNNNNNNNCAUAAUUUAGUAAGAGAUUUAAGAGUAAAAUGGUAAAUACAUGCAUUUAUUUGAAUGUAAAAUCUUAGAGAUUAAAAAAACUGUCGAAAAUAAAAAGAUCUAUAACUAGCCUUUAGACGUGGGAUGGAAUUUUGUGAUUUCUAAUUUCAUAAAAGUUAUUUACCGGUCAUAUAAUUACUUGUUUUAAUUUGGUCAUUCAAAUUAAAUAAAAUUCAAUAUUACAUAUUAAUUGUUCUCAAUUUUCUAAUUGACAAGUACUCUAACAUGAGUCACCUCCUAUAUAUAUCAAACUAGCAAGUGUGCAUUUGUCGGGACAAUAUUUUUUUGCUGCAUGAUUAAAAAACAUAUAUUACAUGUGCAUUCAUAUGAUUAAGAACAUGUAUGUUACUCGUGCAUNNNNNNNNNNNNNNNNNNNNNNNNNNNNNNNNNNNNNNNNNNNNNNNNNNNNNNNNNNNNNNNNNNNNNNNNNNNNNNNNNNNNNNNNNNNNNNNNNNNNAAAUACACAUGUUACAUGUUUAUUCUCAUUCACAUUUUACAUGUUUAUUCGCAUUACUAAUAAAACACAUGUUACUCGUGCAUUCAUAUGUUAAAACACACAUGUUACCGUUAAGAACGCAUUUGUUACAUGUGUAUUUUUCUAUUCAAACACAUAAGAAAAAUAAAUGACAAUUUCAAAUUUGAAUCUUUUAUUGAAAAUAGGAAAUCGAAACAUGAUACUAUAUGAUUUUUUUUAAAUAAAUGUUUUAAAAGUUGUAGAAAUAAAAUGAAUUUUUCAAUAAAAAUAUAGAAAUCAAAUCAUGAUACUAUAUGAGUAUUUUUUAUUAAAAAAAUAUUUAAAAGUUAUAAAAAACUUCAAUUUUGAAUUUGAUUAUUUAACUAUAAUAGAGAAAAAUUAAAAUUUAAAGAAUUUGAACUGUGAUAUUAAAAUUCAGUCGGAAAAGUGUCACAAAGCUUUGAUAUGAUGAAAAAUAUAAUAAUUCUUAGAGUAUUGAUAAAUGUUAAAUAAUAUAUAUAGAUUAAUACAAAUAUUAAAUGAGGUGAAACUGUAUAGAUUUUUUAAUUAAAAUUAAAUAAUUACAUAAGUGAAUGUGAAAUGAUUAUAUUAAGGUUUUGUUACCAAAAUUGUGAUCAUAAGAUUUACAUGCUUGUGCAUCCUACUGUUCUUCCAUCAAGAUUUAUACGAAGUUACACACUUACACCCUCAUGUCGGAGAUGAAGAGGUAAGGAUGAGAUUAAGGAAUAGUGGAAAGACAAAGAGGUAAUAGUAGAACUGAUGAAAUGGAAAAGAGAAAUAGUAUGGAUGUGAAAAAAGAUUUCAAUUCACUCUAAUGUUCGAUGAUCAAUACUUUUUAAGAUAAUAAAACAUAUGGGUCAAUCACUAAUUAGCAUUAAAACAUUAAAAUAUAAAAUGUACAAAAAGUGAGGAUGUAGUAUAAAAAUAUACAUAGUAGUAACAUAUAACCUUUUAGAAGGGAAAAAAGUGAGGAGGAAGUGAUAUAUGACUUGAAUGAGUUUUUUAUUAUAUAGUUAAUAGAUUAUGUUGCAAAAGCUAUAUAUACUAGUACCUGGUCAAAUUUUGUACAAAGUAAUAAUAUAUUGUUUAUUUUGUAUAACAUAUACCAAUAUAUUUACAAAUUACAACAUAUAUAUCAAAAUCAUGGCUCCUGAGUGUACAUCUCGUCCCUUUUGUUGNAGGUUAUGUUGCAAAAGCUAUAUAUACUAGUACCUGGUCAAAUUUUGUACAAAGUAAUAAUAUAUUGUUUAUUUUAUAUAACAUAUACCAAUAUAUUUACAAAUUACAACAUAUAUAUCAAAAUAAUGGCUCCUGAGUGUACAUCUCGUCCCUUUUGUUGACAAUGGGUAGAUAUUGUCCCCAAUAGACAAAUGAAAAGGAUAGGUGGCUAACAACCUCUCUAGUCAGCACCUAUUCACAUACAAGCAGAGAUGCCUACAAAUACAAGGGACUCAUUUGCUCAUAAAUCACACAACAAUCAUUCUAACAUCUUCUUCUUAUAUAUCUUUCCAUUAUUCUUCCUCCUUUUUGCUAAUUAGUUUCUAAGCAUGGGUGUUUUUACAUUUGAGAAUGAAUCCACUUCUACUGUGGCUCCUGCUAGGCUCUACAAAGCUUUGGUAACAGAUGCUGACACCAUCAUCCCAAAAGCUGUUGAAGCCAUCCAAAGUGUUGAAACCGUUGAGGGUAAUGGUGGCCCUGGAACCAUUAAGAAGCUUACUUUGAUUGAGGGUUAGUAUAUUAUAUCUUCUUCAUACAUAAAAUAUAUGGUCAUGGCAUAUCAUUACACAUGAGAAAUUUUAGUUUUCCUUCCGCGUUUGUGAUGCUAUUUUUACCCACGCUAAAUUUUUAUUACAUAAAAGCAAACAUUUAUAGAACAAGAUCUAUGUUUUGUUUAACUGUAUAUUUAUUAUAUCAAUGAAAUCUAUGAAUUACUAAACCAAUUAAGCUGAUGAUGUUUAUGGAUAUGAUAAUCAUAUUGGGCAGGUGGGGAAACCAAGUAUGUGUUACACAAAAUAGAGACAAUUGAUGAGGCCAAUUUGGGAUAUAACUACAGCAUAGUUGGUGGAGUUGGAUUGCCAGAUACAGUGGAGAAGAUAUCAAUUGAGACCAAAUUGGUUGAAGGAGCCAAUGGAGGAUCAAUUGGAAAGGUCACUAUCAAGAUUGAAACCAAAGGAGAUGCUCAACCCAAUGAAGAAGAAGGCAAGGCUGCCAAAGCAAGAGGAGAUGCUUUUUUCAAGGCCAUUGAGAGUUACCUUUCAGCCAAUCCUGAUUACAACUAAACUCAACUCUAUUAUUGAAGAAGAGCUCCCUUAUAUAAUGUUUUCUUCCAUGUUAUCCGGUUUGUGCUUUUAAGUUUGAUUCAUAUGUAAUGAGUAAUAAGUGUUCUUCUCUUCUCUUUCCCUUUUUUGCAAAAGUGUGAAAUUCCAUGAGCUUGUAUUUCACUUCUUCAAUAAAUUAAUACAAAAGAAAUUAAAAGCACCAUCUUAGCAUAAAUAUGAUUAUUUGAAAGAUUUAUAUAUUUUAUUGCAUAUAUCUAAAAUUAUGUUUAAACUGGACAUGAAGAAAUAUGAAUUCUUGAAAGUUUAAGUUUUUAUUUUUAUUUUUUUAUAAGAUAAACGUGAAAAUAAUUGCAAUAUAAAAAGACUUAAUGUUAUUUAAUUUGGAAGUACUGAACUAGUUUGUUGUAUACAUUAAUAUAUACAAGAACAUAGAGCUACACUCACAUACUCAAAAACAUUUUUAUACGUCAAAAGGACAUGAGAGAAUUAUAUCUUGUAUUCAAAAGUAGUAAGAAUAUUUUUCUACAAUAGAUUUUAACAGGGUGGAAAUAAGAAGGAAAGAAGACUUAAUUAAUGGAUAUCGAUGCUAUAAGAAAACUUCAUACCAAUUAAUCUUUUAUCCUAUCCCACCAUUGUUUUUAUACAGGGUAUUAUUAAAUUUGGACUAAUCAAUGACUUGAUUAGGGAAUUAAGUCAAUUAGUUAUUGGUUGGACCAUCAAAUCAUUUGGACAUGUUGACUUAGUUUUCUUAAAAAAACUAAAAUAUCAUAAUAAUAGUUAACAUUAUUUAAUAACUAUAUACCCAAAAUAUAAAAAACAUUAUUAUAACUAUUAAAUAGUUAACAAAGAAGAUUUUACUAUUACGAAAUGCUCAAAUAAGUUGGAAAUGUCCUGAAAAAAAAUGUGUUAUGCUUUUUUUUGGGGUCCAAAUGUGUGUUUUGCUUUUUUUUGGAGUGCAAAUGUGUGCUAUGCUUUAAUAUAACAAAAGUGGACAAUAAGUAUAAAUUUAAUUAAACAAUCAAAGUUUUGCUAACACAUAAGUCAUUAAAUGACAACCAUAAUUAUAAAUAAGUUUAAAAUAUUUGAUCUUUUUUCAUCUCAGUACAACAUAGUUUUGAUUGUUUUUUAAUUUUUUUUUAUUGAUUUGUUCGAUUCAACCAGUCCGACCAUCUAAACUUAUUUUAGGCUUAAAUCGUCCGAGUCGAACUGAGUCAAUCCGAUUUUUAUUCAAAACCAGUUAUAAAAGAGACUUGGACUGGUUAGAUGUUCAUUUCAUGGUUGAACUAGUCGAACUAACUGAUCAAAGCCGAAUUUUAUAACUCUUUUUAUAUCAAUGAAUGUUUCACUAAGUAUUUGUUUAAUAUACAUGAAACUAUGUAGUUUUUGUUUAUUUUAAAAAAAUAUGUUUAAAUUGUGACAUACCUNUUAUUCCAACCCUUAUCGAAGGCUAUGCCCACAUCAAGAAUGGCAGAACUUAGCUCGGCAUAGAUAGCCAAUUGAAUACCAAUGAAAGAGUUAAAACUCUCCAUGAACUUAGCUCGGCUUUGUAGUUUUUGUUUAUUUUAAAAAAAUAUGUUUAAAUUGUGACAUACCUAAAUUAUAAACUCAAUUUAAUUUUUUAUAGAAUGUCGCGCCCCGAUUUUCGGCUGCACAACCUCAUUAGAGUCGCCACUACAUUUUUUUCUUCAGUCAAAAAAUGUAGAAAAAUAUUUUGGCCCAAUCACAUUGGGCCUUGGACUUUGAUAUCCAGGUUCGGGAGUUGAUUACACACUAGGGAAGGUAUUAGCAUCCUAGUUGCCCGUUUGAACGGUACCCUAUUAUAUUGCAUGGAUUAUUGAUUGUGUUAUUAUUAUUUUAUUUAAUUAUAUUAUUAAUUAAUUAAUUAUUAUGAAGAAAAAAAUUUGUUUUUAUUAUUGUGCCUGACAAGAAUGACCCCGGUCCUACGUAUCCCUAUUAAGGGAAUCAAGGCUUACGUAGUUCUUUUGGUAGAAAAAAUUUAUUUGUUGGGUUGAUUUUAUUUCUUAGAAAAAUUAAAAAUUAAAAAAUUAUUUUUUAAAAUGAGUGAAGCAUAGCUCUUAUGUCCAAUACCGCAUCUCAUAUUAAAACUUAGUUAAGAAAUUACAUUUUUUAUAUUAAAAAAACUGUUUUUAAAUAUGAGUGAAGCAUAGCCCUUACGUCCGAUACUGCAUGUCAUAUCUUAAAAUUGUGGAAAUAUGGUUUCAAUAUUUUUUACAAAUACAAUAAUUAUAUGACAUAUCAUUAUCAAAUUUAUUACACAUGUAGAUGAAACAGAGCAUAGGUGAUGAACAAAAAAAAAUAGAUGUAAGAAAUUGGACUUACUUGGACACAUGAAUCAACAUCUUUUAAUUGAGAAUAAAGACUCACAGUCAGAGAGAAUGUUUAGACCAACUCAACACGUCCAUGUAUGCAUUGGGCCUGUGNNNNNNNNNNNNNNNNNNNNNNNNNNNNNNNNNNNNNNNNNNNNNNNNNNNNNNNNNNNNNNNNNNNNNNNNNNNNNNNNNNNNNNNNNNNNNNNNNNNNUUUAAAAAACAUUUUUAUAUGUGAAAAAGACUUAAAAAAACAAUUAUGUCUUGUAUUUAAAAGUAGUAUGUAAAAUUUUAAAGUAAGGGGAUCCACUUUCUCCAAGAGUAAGUUUUUUAAAUUUAUUCCACAUUCUAGCAAUCAAUUUUAGGGAAAUCCAAUGGUUUAAAUUAGUAAGUAUAUAUAAACCAUUAUAUUUCCCUAGAAUUGAUAGCUAGAAUGAGAAGUAUGUUUAAAAAACUUACUCGUGAAGGCUCACUCAAUUUUAAAUAGUUUUAGUGCAUUUAAUGUUUGAUAGCUAAGAACUCUAUAAGUUUAUUUUAGAAUAUCUAAAAUAUAAUGAGAAAAAGAUAUAUACACGAGUUUUUUAUGGUGACAAUUUAUCAAUCAUUUAUAUUCAAUAACAUUAUUGACUUUUAAAUAUAAGUAAUACAAAUGAGUAAUGAAUAAUAUAUUAUUUGUGUAUAAACUUUUAUAUUCAUGGUAAGAGUAUAUAGAUAGAGAAAAAGACGUAUACACUAACAAUGUAAGACUUUUUUUUACAUUAUCAUUACAUCAUCCACCGUUCAUUUUUAAUCAUCAUUUGCUUUUAAACAAAAGUAAUACAAAUGAAUUGUGGGGGACGCACUGACUAUGUAUAAAUCUUUACACUAUCAGUACAUAAAUAUUACACUGAUAUAAAUAUUACAUUCCUAUAUUAUUCAUAUCACAUUUAUAUGGGUUCGUUUUGUGGCAUACAGUUCCUCACUAUUCAUCAAAUUAUACGACCCUGUAAUAAUGAAUUGUUACGCUGAAUUCAGCUUCUGAUGACAACCUCAAGGGGGCUAUCUUAGAAUUAGGAUCGCUUUAUCUUGAAGUCUUGAGCUUUUUAAGUUGUAAUUCGAUUUUGGUGAAUUAUGGGGAAUUUGGGGUUGUUUUGAUAAGGAAGAAGGUGGAAAAGGAAUGAGAUGGAAGACGCCACAAGCAUGGAAGCUUGAUAAGUCAAGUGUUGCUUGCCACAAGCUUAGAAAGCUUGAUAAAAGCUCAUCAAUGGCCACGACCAAUGGCUAGGGUUUAGAAGAACUCUCAACUAAAUAAAACACAAGGUUUAACUUAAAAAUCAACAUGCUUCAUUAAUGAUAAUUCAAUUACAUGAAUAGGCAAUAUGAAUGUCUUGGGCUAAAAUAAAAGACUAAGUCCUAAUUAACUUGCAUAAUGAAAAAUCCUAAUUAAAACAUAGGCUAAAAAUAGAAAUGAAAUAAUAAUAUAACGCCAAAUUAAAUCAUGUAAAUGGUUGAAUUGUGGUGGAUUGCUCCUAUUUUUAAGGGAUUUGAAUCUGAUCCAAUUUUAGUUGAUAGGAAAUAGAUUAUCUCCUCAACAAACCAUAUUGAAGAUAUCUUCCCCUUUUUAGCUUUGAUUUAUCCCUUUUGAUAGGAAAUAGAUUAUCUCCUCAACUUGGCUUUUGCCUCACUUUCCUUCUUUUCUUCUUCAACCUUAGCCCUUAGUCUCUUUUGCUCCUCAUUGACUUGUUUAGGGCUCAGAGGGGCUAACGCUACCAUGUGACCAUGGUGUAUAAAUGAGACUUUGUUCAACUAUAUAUAUAUAUUUAUUAGAAAAUAUCAUAACUAACAAACUUUUUAUAUAACAAGAUCUAAGUUUUGUUUAACUAUAUAUUUAUUAUAUCAACAAAAUCUACAAACCAUUUAACCAAUUCAGGUGAUGAUGUUUAUGAAUGAUUGAUAAUCUUCUUGGGCAGGUGGAGAAAUCAAGUAUGUGUUACACAAAAUAGAAUCAAUUGAUGAGGCAAACUUGGGAUAUAACUACAGCAUAGUUGGGGGAGUUGGGUUUCCAGACACAGUAGAGAAGAUAUCUAUUGAAACCAAAUUUUUUGAAGGACCCAAUGGAGGAUCAAUUGGAAAGGUGACUACUAACAUUCUAACCAAAGGAGAUGCUCAACCCAAGGAAGAAGAGGGCAAGGCUGCCAAGGCAAGAGUAGAGAUGGCAAUAAAAACUGAACCCGUGGGUACCCGUCCGAACCCAACCCGAAUUUAACGGGGAAAACCCAUUGUGAUUGGGUUCGGGUUUGGGUAAAACCCGAUCCCAAUUUUCGGGUUCGGGUUCGGGUUUGGUACAACUAAUACCCUACUCCGAACUUGCCCCAAACCCGUUAGAUAUAAUACUAGGCAUACCUAAAGUCCUAAAUUAGAAAUAGAAAUAGUCAAAUAGUAGCCUGCGUGAACACCCAAAGUCUGAAACGUAAAGUCACAUUCUCUUCUCCAGCAAGGUGGCAUGCAUAGUGGCAAUCCUCAAGGUGAUUAGGUGAGUCUUUCGUGUUCAUCUUCUUUCAUUAAGUUGAAUGUUUGUGGCCCUAACUCUGAAAGUGUUGGUGAGGUGCUAAUUUCUCCAAUGGCUUCUCGUUACAGAUCUGUUUCACGGCCAGCUUUCUCUCUCAUUAAAUCCACCUUCACUAAACCCUGGAGUUUGAUAUCUUCAAUAACUUUUUGUUGUUUCUUAUCUGUAAGAAAUUUUUGCUCUUCAUGUAUAUCAUUAUAUGUUCUGUUUUACUCUUAUAUUUUGUGUCAAUCCCAUAAAUACUCAUAGCUUUGAAUGUAAAUAGCAUCUUAUCUCAUGGUUCUUCAGAAUUUUGCUUUCGGAAAAUCGGAAUCCGUUUUCAAAAUUGAAUUUUGGUAGUAGAAACAAACAAUAUGGUUUGGGGUUUGGAAAUCCUAUGCUAGCUGGUUAGUUUUUUUAUUCUCUAGCCUGGAAAAACACUGUAUUUUGUUUGUUAGUGGUUUAGGACUUUAGGUUAAGGUAAACAUUGUAAGCUUUUAUUUAUGUAAUCAAGGAGAGUUCUAUGCUGCAAUUGGAAUUUUAUUUAUUGUCAAUGCUCUAUGCUUUCGAGUUUAAGUUAUUCUGGAAGUCUCAGCUAUAUCUACCUGUGAAAUUGUAAUGCGUAAUGAAUUCAGUGAUUAAAUAUAUGUUUGCUAAUAUAUGUAAAUAUGUUUUUUUCUUCUAAUUGUUUUAUUAUUUAUCCAAUUAGGGAGAAUGAAUAUAGUAAACAGAACAUAUAUGGAUGUGGCUGGUAACCAACAUGCUUCACAAGGAAGUUUACAACAAGUAAAUGUGGAAGGCACUUCUAAUACUACACCUGAACAAUCUCAUAUUGGACAAGAUGAUAAUAUAGAAUCAACAACACAACCUACAUCAAAGAGACAUAGAAGUGUGGUGUGGGAGCAUUUUGAAAAGAUUAAANNNNNNNNNNNNNNNNNNNNNNNNNNNNNNNNNNNNNNNNNNNNNNNNNNNNNNNNNNNNNNNNNNNNNNNNNNNNNNNNNNNNNNNNNNNNNNNNNNNNCCACUUUGUAUGCACCAAAAAGCAUUUCAUAAGCCAAUUGAUCAAUAAGUUCCAUAGAAACAGUCCAUAACAGGAAGGUGUCGUAAUAAACGCUUUCUGGGCAUCCCUCUCAUUGAUCUCGAAUGCAAUCCAGGGGUUGUCAGAGAUUGCCUAGUUUGGCCUGUGAGAACUGUCCGAUCCAACAGGGUACCUCCCCAGGAAUACAAGGGACUCGUCUCACCCAGACUCUCCCUCAAGACAUUGUUGGCGAAUCACCGUCCAAUCAGUGCCGUCCCUGCUUACUUCACGGUGCUCUAAGUCAUACCGUCAAUUUCCUCUCCACUACUCCAUUAUUAACCAUAUGCAUAUGAACACUAACCGCAGUUAGGUGAUUAAAUCUUUUAAUCAUAUUUACCAUGCUCGGCCCACCUUAAGUCAUCUCCCUCAGGAAUGCUUCUUGUGGGUCCCGAUCUUACGUUAACACGUAAUAUAAAGGAAAUACAUCCCACCACUACGACCAUCACUGAAUACCCUGGACGGUCCCAGACCAAGCCUCUUACGGUCAGCCGAUCUCGCUACGUGGUAUCCUGGGUUCCUUUCUGGGCAGCGCCCUAAAUCACAUCAUAACCAAAAGGGUAACGUCCCUACCACUACGACCAUCGCUGAAUCACCCUGGACGGUCCCAGACCAAGCCACUUACGGUCAGACGAUCUCGCUCCGUGGUAUCACGUAUCCUUUUCUGGGCAUCGCCCUAAAUCAUAUAUCCUUCUCGGAUUUCUUUCUUUAAAAUAAAUUUCUGAAUUUGACUAUUUAAUUCCAACACCUUCAAUACUUUACUUUUUAUUUCAAUUACGGCGUUAUACUAAAGUAGUUUAUAUCACAUACCCUUACUAGGGUUAUUACAUACUCAACCAAUCAAUCCCAAUAGUCAAACACAUUUACUGUCUCUCGCCCAAGCGAGGACCCUUCGCUCAAGCGAAAAUUCAAUCAACAAUACCAUUUUAAAACUGGGCAUCUCUCGCUCAAGCGAGGACAAGUCGCCCAAGCGACAAUUCAUCUUUAAAUCUCAAUUAGACUGAACCUUUCCUCAUCUAGGCGAAAGUAUUAUCGCCCAAGCGAGAGGGUUCCAGAAACUCAUUAAAAUUCUGGAAUUUUUUUAUUUUUUUAUUUUUUCGCCCAAUCGAGUUUUUGCUGGCCCGGGCGGACUUUCGGUCGCCCGGGCUCACCCCGGCGACGCCUCGUUCGCCCAGGCGAAAAUCCUGAAAUUUUUUUUUUUCGCCCAAUCGGGUUUUUGCUCGCCCGGGCGGACGUUCGGUCGCCCCAGCGACGCCUGAUUCGCCCAGACUACUGGGAUCUGGCUCGCCCCGACGACGCCCUGGUCGCCCGAGCUCGCCCUGAUGACUCCUGGUUCGCCCAGACUACUGGAAUUUGGACAGAAUGCUAAUUUUUGUCAUUUUCAACAAUCAAGACACAUUCAAACAUGGUUUUUCAACCACCUGCACUCAGAAAAUUUCACAACAACAUUCAUAUACAAUAUUCAACACAUUUCAUCAACAAUCACAUAUAUUCAAAAGCAUUCAAACAUAAAAAUCUUGGGUUUCUUAAACCCAAGUUAACUCCAAAACCUUUGAGAUGGUUUAGGAGAUCCGGGUGUCAUAUUCGGACACCACUAUGUCACGAUGUGUUCUCUCUCACCUUAAUGAAGCGUGCUUUACGAAAUCCCUAUGGUUCGGUUGGGUUGCAAGGUUCAAAUGCCGGAAAUCUUCGUAACUACCAUAAUAAAACUCGUUAGUUUCCGAUAUUUCUAAAAUCGUUACCAAAAUACUUAAAACUCCAUAUUCCGAUUUAAAACAUUCUUUGAUAAUCUUACCACUUUAAAGUAAGUUAUACAAAGUAUCAUUUAAGAGUUUCAUGAGACCUUCAUGUACUCAUAAACCUCAACAUCCUUUUUAACAAAGAUUUCUAUUUUUCCAACUUGAUUCAAGCCAUGUUUUAAGGCUAAAAACAAAUAGAAAUACAUACAUUCUCAUUUUUAUAAAACACUUCCUAAAGGUUCCUUUGAUUUUAUCAUCAUCCCCUUUGGCUAAAACAACAAAAGUAUGUAAUACAACAUUAUAACAACUCUAUGAACACAAGUUGUUCAUGUUUUCAACAAAAUAUUUUUGUGAGUUCAAGAACCACAUCAUUUUCGGUUUUGAAGAGAAAAUGAGUUAUAAAGCGUUUUAGAAAAUUUCAACGGUUGAAUAUGUUCUUGACAUACUCAUGAACGACAUACUUAAAUCUCAUCAACAUCCAUUGGUUGAAUGUUGAGAGAUCAAGGAUUGAAGAUGGAAGAAGACUUGAGAAAAAUGAGAGAAAAAUGGAGAGAGUUACCUUCUCUUUGAAAAUGCAAAAGUGAGUGAGUGAAGUGUGGAGUGUGAGGGUUUAAGGAGAGAGGGAAAUCAGAUUUUCCCUAGGCAAUAAUGACAAAAUCUUCUAGGGUGGCUAAUGAGAUCAUGAGAUAUUUGAGAAAGUGAUGGGAAAUUUGCUUUAUGGAAGUCAAAUCUCUCAUUCCAAUGUGAAAUGAUCACCUUGCGGACACGCGUGAUAACCAUGUCCAAGUAUUAUCAGCCAAUACUCGAUCGGGUAUUUUAAAUCGCCCGAUCCUAAUAUCCGAUUAGAAUUUCGGAUUUCGGAAUUCCGAGUGAAAAAUAUUUAGAAAAUAGGUAUGAGUGUAUUCAGGGUCUAUACUGACUCAAAAUUAAAUUACGAAUCCAACAGCGGGAUCAGAAUUCGAUUCCGAGUUACGGAACUCAAAAAGACACGUUUGAGCCGUACCAGGCGGAUUUCGGCCCCGACAGGGGUCCAGAACCGACUGUCUCCAAAAAUUACCAAAAUUGACCAUAAAAUCAGAAAUAAAAUUUCAAGAAUAAAACUCAACUAGAGUUUUGUCUUAUUCUUCACCGAAAAUUCCCAGAAAUUCAUUUUCGAAUAUAUAAUUAAUGAAAAUAUUAGUAAAAUCUUAUAAUUCAAACUCGUAAAAUUUGCGGUGUUACAAUGAGAGUGAUGAACUUUGCAUAUGCUAAUUCAUAUGCUAAUUGCCUAAUUCAUAUGAUAACAGUGAUGCUAAAGUAUGCAUUAUUUAUGGUGACAGUGAUGCUAAAAUGUGUAUAAUACACACUGAUGUUCACUACUUAGUAUUUAUAUAUUUAUUUAUUGUCGGGUUUACCCGUCGGGUUCAGGCUACCCGAAACUCGAUGGGUUUGGGGAUGAUAUUCUUAUUUUCAACCCCGUUGAGUUUGGGUUCGGGUUCAGGUUUUACAUUUCGGGUUCAGGGUUGGGUAAGGGUAAACCCGACCCCGAUCUGCCCCGUUGUCAUUCCUAGGCAAGAGGCACUACGCCAGAAUAGCAAAACAACAGCGCUUAAAAUUGUCAUUUAACAUCGCUUUUGAGGCGCUUUCUAUGUGAGUGCAGUAGUACGUAAGGUUAUAUUUAAUAGUGUGUUUUGAAGUGCUCUAGAAAGUAGACAUUUAACAACGCUCAGUGAAGUAGACACUGUUAAAUGUCUACUUUCUAAAUAAGACAAUAUCUCUUAGAUAUUCUAUCAAACACAUGACAAUCAUGUCCAACUCCACCAUAUUUACAAUAGAUUUGUGAAAUCACCAACGACUCGAGCUACAUUCAACCUUAACAUAUUCCAAUACUAUAAAAUAACAUAUUAGUAAUGAGAUCUUACGCAAAUUGUUCAUUCUUUCUCCUUCGAUGUGCAAGUCCUUACAGAGUGUUCAUGUGUUCCUCAAUGAUUAAUGCAAGCUGCAAAUACAAAUAAAAAAUAUCAUCUCUAAACAAAUUGCAAAAGUUAUAAAAAAAUACUAAAUUAGCAGCAAUUGAUAAAGAAUAUUUACCAUUACACUCAAACCUUGUGUUCUAACUAGUGAACCAUAACCAAAAUCCUAGAACAUCAUAGCUGCAUAACUUCACAACAAAUAAAGACUUGUUAUUUAUGGUGUAAAUGCAAACAUCAAGACAGAAUCAAAAAGAAAUAAAUGAGCUAAAAUAAGAUAAUGAUUUACCUUAUAUGAAGUAUCGUCAUUAACAACGCUUUCUUCCAUAAGAUUUGUUAAAGAUAACACACCUUUAACAUCUCUUAUUGAAGAAGUGUUGUUAAAUAUAGGAAGUAUCGUCUUUAACAGUGAUUUUUUCAAUAAGCAUUGUUAAAGAUAACACACCUUUAACAACGCUUGCUUAAAUAAGCAUGGUUAAAGAUAACACCUUUAACAAUGCUUAUUGAAGAAGUGUUGUUAAAUAUAUGAAGUAUGAUCUUUAACAAAUCUUUCUUCAAUAAGAGCUGUUAAAGAUAACACAUUUAACAUUGCUUUCUUCAAUGAGCGCUAUUAAUUCUUUUCUGCCUUAUAUUUAACAACGUUCAACACAUAAGCGUUGUUAAAUACCAAUUCUGGCAUAGUGAGGUGAUAUUUUUUUCAAGGACAUUGAGAGUUACCUUUCUGUCCAUCCUGAGUACAACUAAAUUGAAUUCUAUCACUGAAGAAGAGCUUCCUUAUAUAAAGUUUCCUUCCAUGUUAUACAUCUUGUGCUUUUAAGUUUGCCUCCUAUGUAAUGAUUAAUGAUUGUUCCUCUAUUCUCUUUCCUUUUUUUAUAUGCAAAAGUGUGAGAUUAUAUGAGUUUGUAUUUCAUUUCAUCAAUAAAUUAAGACAAAAAAAUUACAAGCACCUUCACAAUCAUGACAGUUAAAAUUGAGAUUUUACUUAAGAUUGAGAUGGGUAUGGCGAAAUUAAUGCGAAAGCUUAAAAUGAAUAUUAUGGAUAUUUUUCAUUGAAUUGAUCAAGGUGUGAAAAUCCUUAUUUAUAGUGUAAACUAACUAGCUAACAAACUAAUAAACACAUGUUGUCAAAUAAUUCAACAUGUGUAAAAUGUGUAAAAUGUGGUAGCUUUAUUCUCUAAUAGCCCCCUCAAGCUGGAGGGUAAAUGUCAAUUAACUCCAGCUUGAUCAUUCCAUUUGAUAUCGUGACAAUGUAAUGGAUCGAAAUCUCGAUCCUAACGUGAAUGAAUUUUCUCAAUCACUUGAUCUUGUUGUUGUUGAUCUUAUUGAUCUUGUUAUUGUUGAUCUUGUUGUUGUUGAUCUUAUUGUUGUUGUUGAUCUUGUUGUUGCUGUUGAUCUUGUUGUUAAUCUUAUUAAUCUUGUUGUUGUUGUUGAUCUUGUACAUAUACUCCUUGAUGACACUUCUUUCUUCGACAACUUCCACUUCUCACAAAGUACAAAGGUGGUGCUGGUUUGGCACGAUCCAUAGUAGAGGCCAUAGGAAUAGAACAAGGGAAAAAAAUGUUUGAUAGAGCAUAACAGAGGAUCUUCGGACAAAUCAAAUAGAAAAUUAUUGCACGAAGUAAAAUGAUUCCAAUACUAAUUAAUGCACCUCAUAACAACAAGCUUCCAUUGAGAAAUCAUUGAAACAACUAAUAAUACAUUGUUGAAUCUGCCUAAUGCUUCAAGGGUGUUAAAUGUAGAAAGUAACAAGCCUGACUUCCAUGCACAACAAAUUUCAACUCUGGUGUCCAAACUCCUCUCUACCUCAAAUUCUUCCCCUUUUUCUUCCUUUUUUUAUUUCUUCAAAAACUUCUUCGCUUUAUGUCGAGUUGUUGACAAUGAUUCUUUGUUGAAUCUUGGAAGAUGAAGAUAAUAAUUUUAGAGAAUGUGCAACAUUGACCAAAGACUUCAAGAUGAAGGCUCUGAUACUGUAUGGCGAAAUUGUUGCGAAAGCGUAAAAUGAAUAUUAUGGAUAUUUCUCACUGAAUUGAUCAAGUCAUGAAAGGCCUUAUUUAUAGUGUAAACUAUCUAUCUAACUAACUAGCUAACAAACUAAUAAAUACAUGGUGUAAAACAAUUUAAUUUGUGUAAAAUGAGUAAAAAUGUAAAAAGUGUAAAAUGUGGUAGUUUUGUUCUCCAAUAAUGAGAGUCAUAAAUCAUAAAUGUAUGAUCAUAACACGACUUCUAAGAUCCUAGUGAUUAAUAUAUACUAGGGUUGGCAAUGGGCACAGGUAGUAGAUACCCGCUACCCGUUUCAAAAUAGGAGAGUAUUACCCAUACCCGCCCGUGUGCGGGUAUUCGUGGGUAUUUCUUGGUACCCGUGGGUACAACAGGUACCCGCGAGUUUCCUAUAUUAUAAAUGAAUUUUUAAUUUUUUACUUCUAUUAUGUUUCAAAUGAGAUGAAACUUAAUUAUUUUUAUACAUUUUGUUUGAAUAUUUGGCAAAAAUCCUAAAUUUAUUGGUGUUUUCUUUUUGUGUGAUUUUUUUUUCUCAUUUCNNNNNNNNNNNNNNNNNNNNNNNNNNNNNNNNNNNNNNNNNNNNNNNNNNNNNNNNNNNNNNNNNNNNNNNNNNNNNNNNNNNNNNNNNNNNNNNNNNNNACAAUAUUUUUUUGCUGCAUGAUUAAAAAACAUAUAUUACAUGUGCAUUCAUAUGAUUAAGAACAUGUAUGUUACUCGUGCAUUGACAUGGUUAAAAAUACACAUGUUACAUGUUUAUUCUCAUUCACAUUUUACAUGUUUAUUCGCAUUACUAAUAAAACACAUGUUACUCGUGCAUUCAUAUGUUAAAACACACAUGUUACCGUUAAGAACGCAUUUGUUACAUGUGUAUUUUUCUAUUCAAACACAUAAGAAAAAUAAAUGACAAUUUCAAAUUUGAAUCUUUUAUUGAAAAUAGGAAAUCGAAACAUGAUACUAUAUGAUUUUUUUUAAAUAAAUGUUUUAAAAGUUGUAGAAAUAAAAUGAAUUUGUCAAUUUCGAAUUUGAUUUUUUUAAUAAAAAUAGAGAAAUCAAAUCAUGAUACUAUAUGAGUCUUUUUUAUUAACAAAAUAUUUAAAAGUUAUAAAAAACUGCAAUUUUGAAUUUGAUUAUUUAACUAUAAUAGAGAAAAAUUAAAAUUUAAAGAAUUUGAACUGUGAUAUUAAAAUUCAGUCGGAAAAGUGUCACAAAGCUUUGAUAUGAUGAAAAAUAUAAUAAUUCUUAGAGUAUUGAUAAAUGUUAAAUAAUAUAUAUAGAUUAAUACAAAUAUUAAAUGAGGUGAAACUGUAUAGAUUUUUUAAUUAAAAUUAAAUAAUUACAUAAGUGAAUGUGAAAUGAUUAUAUUAAGGUUUUGUUACCAAAAUUGUGAUCAUAAGAUUUACAUGCUUGUGCAUCCUACUGUUCUUCCAUCAAGAUUUAUACGAAGUUACACACUUACACCCUCAUGUCGGAGAUGAAGAGGUAGGGAUGAGAUUAAGGAAUAGUGGAAAGACAAAGAGGUAAUAGUAGAACUGAUGAAAUGGAAAAGAGAAAUAGUAUGGAUGUGAAAAAAGAUUUCAAUUCACUCUAAUGUUCGAUGAUCAAUACUUUUUAAGAUAAUAAAACAUAUGGGUCAAUCACUAAUUAGCAUUAAAACAUUAAAAUAUAAAAUGUACAAAAAGUGAGGAUGUAGUAUAAAAAUAUACAUAGUAGUAACAUAUAACCUUUUAGAAGGGAAAAAAGUGAGGAGGAAGUGAUAUAUGACUUGAAUGAGUUUUUUAUUAUAUAGUUAAUAGAUUAUGUUGCAAAAGCUAUAUAUACUAGUACCUGGUCAAAUUUUGUACAAAGUAAUAAUAUAUUGUUUAUUUUAUAUAACAUAUACCAAUAUAUUUACAAAUUACAACAUAUAUAUCAAAAUAAUGGCUCCUGAGUGUACAUCUCGUCCCUUUUGUUGACAAUGGGUAGAUAUUGUCCCCAAUAGACAAAUGAAAAGGAUAGGUGGCUAACAACCUCUCUAGUCAGCACCUAUUCACAUACAAGCAGAGAUGCCUACAAAUACAAGGGACUCAUUUGCUCAUAAAUCACACAACAAUCAUUCUAACAUCUUCUUCUUAUAUAUCUUUCCAUUAUUCUUCCUCCUUUUUGCUAAUUAGUUUCUAAGCAUGGGUGUUUUUACAUUUGAGAAUGAAUCCACUUCUACUGUGGCUCCUGCUAGGCUCUACAAAGCUUUGGUAACAGAUGCUGACACCAUCAUCCCAAAAGCUGUUGAAGCCAUCCAAAGUGUUGAAACCGUUGAGGGUAAUGGUGGCCCUGGAACCAUUAAGAAGCUUACUUUGAUUGAGGGUUAGUAUAUUAUAUCUUCUUCAUACAUAAAAUAUAUGGUCAUGGCAUAUCAUUACACAUGAGAAAUUUUAGUUUUCCUUCCGCGUUUGUGAUGCUAUUUUUACCCACGCUAAAUUUUUAUUACAUAAAAGCAAACAUUUAUAGAACAAGAUCUAUGUUUUGUUUAACUGUAUAUUUAUUAUAUCAAUGAAAUCUAUGAAUUACUAAACCAAUUAAGCUGAUGAUGUUUAUGGAUAUGAUAAUCAUAUUGGGCAGGUGGGGAAACCAAGUAUGUGUUACACAAAAUAGAGACAAUUGAUGAGGCCAAUUUGGGAUAUAACUACAGCAUAGUUGGUGGAGUUGGAUUGCCAGAUACAGUGGAGAAGAUAUCAAUUGAGACCAAAUUGGUUGAAGGAGCCAAUGGAGGAUCAAUUGGAAAGGUCACUAUCAAGAUUGAAACCAAAGGAGAUGCUCAACCCAAUGAAGAAGAAGGCAAGGCUGCCAAAGCAAGAGGAGAUGCUUUUUUCAAGGCCAUUGAGAGUUACCUUUCAGCCAAUCCUGAUUACAACUAAACUCAACUCUAUUAUUGAAGAAGAGCUCCCUUAUAUAAUGUUUUCUUCCAUGUUAUCCGGUUUGUGCUUUUAUAAGGCAUCAUUUCAUUAGGGACCAAUGUCCAAAAGAAUGAUGUGUCUAUAUAAUUUGUUGAUACUCAUAACCAACUAGCAUAUAUAUAUAUAUAUAUAUAUAUAUAUNNNNNNNNNNNNNNNNNNNNNNNNNNNNNNNNNNNNNNNNNNNNNNNNNNNNNNNNNNNNNNNNNNNNNNNNNNNNNNNNNNNNNNNNNNNNNNNNNNNNAUAAAUGUUUUAAAAGUUGUAGAAAUAAAAUGAAUUUUUCAAUAAAAAUAUAGAAAUCAAAUCAUGAUACUAUAUGAGUAUUUUUUAUUAAAAAAAUAUUUAAAAGUUAUAAAAAACUUCAAUUUUGAAUUUGAUUAUUUAACUAUAAUAGAGAAAAAUUAAAAUUUAAAGAAUUUGAACUGUGAUAUUAAAAUUCAGUCGGAAAAGUGUCACAAAGCUUUGAUAUGAUGAAAAAUAUAAUAAUUCUUAGAGUAUUGAUAAAUGUUAAAUAAUAUAUAUAGAUUAAUACAAAUAUUAAAUGAGGUGAAACUGUAUAGAUUUUUUAAUUAAAAUUAAAUAAUUACAUAAGUGAAUGUGAAAUGAUUAUAUUAAGGUUUUGUUACCAAAAUUGUGAUCAUAAGAUUUACAUGCUUGUGCAUCCUACUGUUCUUCCAUCAAGAUUUAUACGAAGUUACACACUUACACCCUCAUGUCGGAGAUGAAGAGGUAAGGAUGAGAUUAAGGAAUAGUGGAAAGACAAAGAGGUAAUAGUAGAACUGAUGAAAUGGAAAAGAGAAAUAGUAUGGAUGUGAAAAAAGAUUUCAAUUCACUCUAAUGUUCGAUGAUCAAUACUUUUUAAGAUAAUAAAACAUAUGGGUCAAUCACUAAUUAGCAUUAAAACAUUAAAAUAUAAAAUGUACAAAAAGUGAGGAUGUAGUAUAAAAAUAUACAUAGUAGUAACAUAUAACCUUUUAGAAGGGAAAAAAGUGAGGAGGAAGUGAUAUAUGACUUGAAUGAGUUUUUUAUUAUAUAGUUAAUAGAUUAUGUUGCAAAAGCUAUAUAUACUAGUACCUGGUCAAAUUUUGUACAAAGUAAUAAUAUAUUGUUUAUUUUGUAUAACAUAUACCAAUAUAUUUACAAAUUAUAACAUAUAUAUCAAAAUGAUGGCUCCUGAGUGUGCAUCUCGUCCCUUUUGUUGACAAUGGGUAGAUAUUGUCCCCAAUAGACAAAUGAAAAGGAUAGGUGGCUAACAACCUCUAUAGUCAGCACCUAUCCACAAUGAGGCAUACAAGCAGAGGUGCCUAUAAAUACAAACACUCCAUUGCUCAUAACUCACACAACAACCAUUCCAACAUCUUCCUCUCAUAUAUCUUUGCAUUAUUCUUCCUCCUUUUGCUAAUUAAUUUUCAAGCAUGGGUGUUUUUACCUUUGAGAAUGAAUCCACCUCUACUGUGGCUCCUGCUAGGUUAUACAAAGCUUUGGUAACAGAUGCUGACAUCAUAAUCCCAAAGGCUGUUGAUACCAUCCAAAGUGUUGAAACCGUUGAGGGUAAUGGUGGACCUGGAACCAUCAAGAAACUCACUUUGGUUGAGGGUUAGUAUAUUAUUCCAUAUAUCUUCUUCAUCCAUAAGAUAUAUUAUUAUACGGGAAAAAUUUAGUUUUCUUUUAGUGUUUGAGAUACUGUUUUUAAGCAUUCCAAACUUUUAUUACAAAAAAACAAACGUUUAUAUCAUUAUAGCAUAACUAACAAAUAUUUUAUAUAAGAAGAUCUAAGUUUUGUUUAAAUGUAUAAUUAUUAUAUCAACAAAAUCUACAAACCACUUAACCAAUUAAGGUGAUAAUGUUAAUGGAUGUUUGAUAAUCUUAUUGGACAGAUGGGGAAACCAAGUAUGUGUUACACAAAAUAGAAUCAAUUGAUGAGGCAAACUUGGGAUAUAACUACAGCAUAGUUGGAGGAGUUGGGUUGCCAGACACGGUAGAGAAGAUAUCUAUUGAAACCAAAUUGUUUGAAGGACCCAAUGGAGGAUCAAUUGGAAAGGUUACUAUUAACAUUCAAACCAAAGGAGAUGCUCAACCGAAUGAAGAAGAGGGCAAGGCUGCGAAAGCAAGAGGUGAUGUUUUUUUCAAGGCCAUUGAGAGUUACCUUUCUGCCCAUCCUGAGUACAACUAAAUUGACUUCUAUCACUGAAGAAGAGCUUCCUUUUAUAAAGUUUACUUCCAUGUUAUACAUCUUGUGCUUUUAAGUUUGCCUCCUAUGUAAUGAUUAAUAAGUGCUCUUCUAUUCUCUCUUUUUUAUUAUGCAAAAGUGUGAGAUUAUAUGAGUUUGUAUUUCAUUUCGUCAAUAAAUUAAUACAACAAAAUUACAAGCAUCUUCACAAUCAUGGCAGUUAAAGUCGACAUUUUACUUAAAAUUGGGAUGAGAGUCAAAUAUUAUAAAUGCACGAUCAUAACACGACUUGUAAGAUCAUACUUAUUAAUAAAACUCAUAUAAUAAAAAACUCAUAUUACAACUCAAUCCUUAUUUUUUAUAUUCUUGCAUAAUAGGAUAAAUUAGUAAAAGGACCAAUAUUUUAAAGAAUAAAACUAAAAUUUUAAAAAAGCCCACUUUUUUAUAUGCUAGCUAAAUAAAAUAAAUUAGUGAAAUAAUCAUUAUUUUAAAGACUAAAAUUAUAAUGGCAAAAAACUCAUAUUACAGUCAAUUCCUAAAGAACCCAUAUUUUAAAGAAUAAAAAGAUUGUAAAAAUCACAUAUUACACACAACCCAAACCUUAUUUUUCCUAGGGUUGCCCAUUAUGGUUCCUAACUUUUCCCUUCAGUGAUUUCUGUUCCUCUUUUCAUUUCAAACAUGCCAUGGUUGCUGCUUCCUGGAUCUCACAACGAGAACAAGAAGGUUCAAUAUUUUCUUGCUCCAUAUUCCUAUCUUUAUACUUCUUUCACGCAUCUUAUAAAUCAAUAAAAUAAGUUUGACGGGUUGAGGGAGAAGAGAGAUGGAAAAAGCUAGUGGAGAAGAGUGGAUAUGGGAUCGAUGAGACUGUCGAUGUAAUCAAUCUUACACUCCUACAUGGUGAUCUCACACGAUCUUAAGGAGGCGUGCCCAAAACUGAGAUAUGUUUAUUCCAUGUAAUAUAGUUUUCUUCCAUAUUAUAUUAGUUUGAGUUUUUAUGUUUGCUUCCUAUGUAAUGAUCAAUAAGUGUCGUUCUCUUUCAUUUUUCUCUGAAAUUGUCAUAUUCCAUGAGUUUGUAUCUCAUUUCAUCAAUAAAUUAAUACGAAAAAAUUACAAGCAUUAUCUCAUUAGAAAUGUGAUUGUUUGAAAGAUUUUAUAUUUUAUUACAUAUAUGGCAAACCAAAUUUAAACUAGACAUCAAGAAGUAUGAAUACUUGAGGAUUUGAAGUUUUUAUUUUUCAUAACAUAAACAUGAAAAUAACUACAAGAAGAAGUAAUGUUAUUUGAGAAUACUAAACAAAUUUGUUAUAUAUAUUAAUAUAUACAAGAAGGGAUAGCUAACUCACAUAGUCAUGUUGCCAUAUAAGGAUUUAAGAUGUUUAAAAAACAUUUUUAUAUGUGUAAAAGACUUAAAAAAACAAUUAUGUCUUGUAUUUAAAAGUAGUAUGUAAAAUUUUAAAGUAAGGGGAUCCACUUUCUCCAAGAGUAAGUUUUUUAAAUUUAUUCCACAUUCUAGCCAUCAAUUUUAGGGAAAUCCAAUGGUUUAAAUUAGUGAGUAUAUAUAAACCAUUAGAUUUUCCUAGAAUUGAUAGCUAGAAUGAGAAGUAAGUUUAAAAAACUUACUCGUGAAGCCUCACUCAAUUUUAAAUAGUUUUAGUGCAUUUAAUGUUUGAUAGCUAAGAACUCUAUAAGUUUAUUUUAGAAUAUCUAAAAUAUAAUGAGAAAAAGAUAUAUACACGAGUUUUUUAUGGUGUCAGUUUAUCAAUCAUUUAUAUUCAAUAAUAUUAUUGACUUUUAAAUAUAAUAAUACAAAUGAGUAGUGAAUAAUAUAUUAUUUGUGUAUAAACUUUUAUAUUUCUGGUAAGAGUAUAUAGAUAGAGAAAACGACGUAUAAACUAACAAUGUAAGACUUUUUACAUUGUCAUUACAUCAUCCACCAUUCAUUUUUAAUCAUCAUUUACUUUUAAAUAAAAGUUAUACAAAUGAAUUGUGGGUGAUGCACUGACUAUGUAUAAAUCUUUACACUAUUCAGUGCAUAAAUAUUACACUGAUAUAAAUAUUACAUUCCUACAUUAUUCAUAUCACAUUUAUAUGGGUUCGUUUUGUGGCAUAUAGUUCCUCACUAUUCAUCAAAUUAUAGGACCCUGCAAUAAUGAAUUGCUACGCUGAAUUCGGCUUCGGAUGACAACCUCAAGGGGGCUGCAUUAGAAUUAGGAUCGUUUUAUCUUGAAGUCUUGAGCUUUUUAAGUUGUAAUUCGAAUUUGGUGAAUUAUGGGGAAUUUGGGAUUGUUUUGGUGAGGGAAAUGGCAAAGAUUAGAAGGGGCAAGCGCCGCAAGCAAGAAUGUUUGAUAAGCUAGUGUUAUUUGCCACAAGCUAGGAAGCUUGAUAAGAACUUGUUAAUGGUGGCCACAACCAACCUAGGGUUUUUAGGAUAAGUGCUCUCAACUAAAACAACUUAGAUUUAAUCAAAAUUCAACUUAACUUUAUUAAUGACAAUUCAAUUACAUAAAUAAGCAAUCUGAAUGUCUUGGGCUGAAAUAAAAGACUAAGUCCUAAUUAACUUGCAUAAUGAAAAAUCCUAAUUAAAACUUGGGCUAAAAAUAGAUAUGAAAUAAUAAUAUAACCCCAAAUUAAAUCAUGUAAAUGGUUGAAUUGUGGCGGAUUGCUCCUAUUUUUAAGGGAUUUGAAUCUGAUCCAAUUUUAGUUGAUAGGAAAUAGAUUAUCUCCUCAACGAACCAUAUUGAAGAUAUCUUCCCCUUUUUAGCUUUGAUUUAUCCCUUUUGGCCAACCGAAAUGAUGAUAGCUUUCCCUUGAAUUUCUCUAACCGUGUUGCUUGAAGAUAGAUAAGAUUUGACCAAUUUGAAAUAGUUAAAUCUUUUCCCAACCGUGUGGAUUGAUUUCAAUAUAAUUUAGGCAUAGAUAUUUCACUAAAGCUCUUUCCUUAUCUCUAGGCCUUGCCAUUCCAUCAUUGUAGUCGUGACUAGUUACCCUUGAACCUAACUGAAGUACGUGGUCAUGAAUCUGGACCAUGUUAUAUAUGAAUCCCAACCCACAUUACAUGAAUUAAAUACUAACAUUUUUGACAUUAAAUAAACUAUACUCCUAAGACUAUAUGAGAAUGCAAUCUCAUUUAUUUGAUUCAAUGGAAAUAAAAUAAACUAAAUAGAAAGUGACCUACGGACAUAAAUGUCCUUUUCACAUACCCUAUCCUGGGUCAAUUGUAUCCUUUGAGACUUUAAGGACCUCUGCCUUGGCCUUGGCCCUAGUUGUAGGACAAUCAUGACUUCUCUUGAUCUUGGGAUCAAAGGCUACUCUAGGAAGGUUUACAUCAUCCAUUUCGCCCUUCAAGUGAAUUCGUCCUUGAAUUGCCUUCAUUCUUAUCAUUCUUUCUAUCCUUGCCAUGAUCUUUCAAAGAAUGGCUAAGUGUAGAAAACUUUUCAGCCUUGGAAGUUGGAACAAUGUCAAGUGUAGGUUCGGCCAUGAACUUGGCUUUUGCCUCACUUUCCUUCUUUUCUUCUUCAACCUUAGCCCUUAGUCUCUUUUGCUCCUCAUUGACUUGUUUAGGGUUCAGAGGGCCUAACACUACCAUGUGACCAUGGUGUAUAAAUGAGACUUUGUUCAACUAUAUAUAUAUUUAUUAGAAAAUAGCACAACUAACAAACUUUUUAUAUAACAAGAUCUAAGUUUUGUUUAACUAUAUAUUUAUUGUAUCAACAAAAUCUACAAACCAUUUAACCAAUUCAGGUGAUGAUGUUUAUGAAUGAUUGAUAAUCUUCUUGGGCAGGUGGAGAAAUCAAGUAUGUGUUACACAAAAUAGAAUCAAUUGAUGAGGCAAACUUGGGAUAUAACUACAACAUAGUUGGGGGAGUUGGGUUUCCAGACACAGUAGAGAAGAUAUCUAUUGAAACCAAAUUGUUUGAAGGACCCAAUGGAGGAUCAAUUGGAAAGGUCACUACUAACAUUCUAACCAUAGGAGAUGCUCAACCCAAGGAAGAAGAGGGCAAGGCUGCCAAGGCAAGAGUAGAGAUGGCAAUAAAAACUGAACCCGUGGGUACCCGUCCGAACCCAACCCGAAUUUAACGGGGAAAACCCGUUGUGACUGGAUUCGGGUUUGGGUAAAACCCGAUCCCAAUUUUCGGGUUCGGGUUCAGGUUUGGUACAACUAAUACCCUACCCCGAACCUACCCCAAACCUGUUAGAUAUAAUACUAGGCAUACCUAAAGUCCUAAAUUAGAAAUAGAAAUAGUCAAAUAGUAGCCUGCGUGAACACUCAAAGUCUGAAACCUAAAGUCACACUCUCUUCUAUAGCAAGGUGGCAUGCAUAGUGGCAAUCCUCAAGGUGAUUAGGUGAGUCUUUCGUGUUCAUCUUCUUUCAUUAAGUUGAGUGUUUGUAGCCCUAACUCUGAAAGUUUUGGUGAGGUGCUAAUUUCUCCAAUGGCUUCUCGUUACAGAUCUGUUUCACGGCCAGCUUUCUCUCUCAUUAAAUCCACCUUCACUAAACCCUGGAGUUUGAUAUCUUCAAUAACUUUUUGUUGUUUCUUAUCUGUAAGAAAUUUUUGCUCUUCAUGUAUAUCAUUAUAUGUUCUGUUUUACUCUUAUAUUUUGUGUCAAUCCCAUAAAUACUCAUAGCUUUGAAUGUAAAUAGCAUCUUAUCUCUUGGUUCUUCAGAAUUUUGCUUUCGGAAAAUCGGAAUCUGUUUUCAAAAUUGAAUUUUGGUAGUAGAAACAAACAAUAUGGUUUGGGGUUUGGAAAUCCUAUGCUAGCUGGUUAGUUUUUUUUAUUCUCUAGCGUGGAAAAACACUGAUUUUGUCUGAUAGUGGUUUAGGACUUUAGGUUAAGGUAAACAUUGUAAGCUUUUAUUUAUGUAAUCAAGGAGAGUUCUAUGCUGCAAUUGAAAUUUUAUUUAUUGUCAAUGCUCUAUGCUUUCGAGUUUAAGUUAUUCUGGAAGUCUCAACUAUAUCUACCUGUGAAAUUGUAAUGCAUAAUGAAUUCAGUGAUUAAAUAUGUGUUUGCUAAUAUGUGUAAAUCUGUUUUUUUCUUCUAAUUGUUUUAUUAUUUAUUCAAUUAGGGAGAAUGAAUAUAGUAAACAGAACAGAUAUGGAUGUGGUUGGUACCCAACAUGCUUCACAAGGAAGUUUACAACAAGUAAAUGUGGAAGGCACUUCUAAUACUACACCUGAACAAUAUCAUAUUGGACAAGAUGACAAUAUAGAAUCAACAACACAACCUACAUCAAAGAGGCAUAGAAGUGUGGUGUGGGAGCAUUAUGAAAAGAUUAAAGUGGACGGAGUAGACAAGGCUGAGUGCAAAUAUUGUAAGAAAAAAAUCGGAGGGGGUUCAAAGAAUGGAACAAAGCACUUGCACAACCAUAUGGAGUUGUGUGUUCAAAAAAAGAUUAUGAGAGAGGCAAUAACAAAGGACAAUCAUUUCUAAUGCUUAAAGACUCACAAGGUAAGCAAGAGUUAGGAGUUGGAACUUAUGAUGCAGAAAAUACAAAAAAGGAACUCGCGAGCGCAAUUAUUAUGCACGAUUAUCCACUAUCAAUAGUGGACCAUGUUGGUUUUAGAUGGUACUCAGCUUCCCUCCAACCAUUGUUUCAAGUUCCUUCUCGAAACACCAUCAAGAAUGAGAUAUUGAAAGUGUAUGAUUUCGAGAGAGAAUGUCCAAUGAAGAUGUUGGAUAGUCAUGAAGGGAGAGUGGCCAUUACCUCAGAUAUGUGGACCUCAAGUAAUCAAAAGAGGGGUUACAUGGCAGUCACAACUCACUAUAUUGAUUGCUCUUGGACUUUACAAAGUCGAAUCUUGAGGUAAUUAUAUUUAUAAUUCAAUUUAUUUACAAUUUUUCAUGGAAAAAUUAUUGAAUGUGAAUAUUGUUAUUUUAGGUUCAUUUAUGUUCCUGCCCCUCACACUAGUGAUAUACUUUGUCAUGCGCUCGUUGAAUGCUUUAUGGAUUGGAACAUUGACACAAAAAUAUCAACUAUUACUCUAGAUAAUUGUACCACAAAUGAUGAUAUGAUUCCAAAAAUUAAGGAUAAAUUGCGGUUGGGAAAUUUGUUGAGGGAUGGGUCUUUACUUCAUAUGCGUUGUUGUGCACAUAUCCUAAAUUUAAUAGUUAAAGAUGGAUUAAAAGUUGUGAAAGAUAGGAUAGAAAAGAUUCGAGAUAGUGUAGCAUAUUGGAACGCUACACCAAAAAGGAGCGAAAAGUUUGAGGAGACUGCUAAACAAUUGCGAGUUCCUUAUACUAGAAAGUUAAUUUUAUAUUGUCCAACUAGAUGGAAUUCAAAUUACAAAAUGCUCGAGGUUGCCAUAUCGUAUAAGGAUGUAUGUAAUCGGUUAAAUCAAUGUGACACCCAAUAUACUUGUUUGCCAAGUAAUUAACAAUGGUAAUUUGCAGAGGAUGUUUGUGAGCGACUAAAAUUGUUUAGUUCUAUAAUCGAGAUGAUUUCUAGUACUAAGUAUCCAACUGCCAACAUAUAUUUUCCCAAGAUUUGUCAUAUUAAGCUAGCAAUAACUCGGUGGAUUAACUCCUCUAAUGAAUUGAUUAAAAUGAUGGCAGAGAAGAUGAUGGCCAAAUUUGAAAGGUAUUGGAGUGUGAUUCAUGAUAUUAUGGGAGUUGCUACAGUUUUGGAUCCUAGAUACAAAAUGGCAUUACUUGAAUUCUAUUUUGAUAAGUUGUAUGACCAUGAUGCAUUUACACAAGUAAGGAAAAUCCGAGAGUUGUGUUAUGAUUUAGUGUCUGAUUAUCAACAAACAAAAAAUUCGAGUGGAAGCUCUCCAUUGUUAAACAGAACUGUUACUAAUGAUGAACCUUUGGAGGAAUAUGAUGUGUGUAUCGAGAAGAGAAGAGAAAAUAGAAGCUCAAGUGUUAAAACUGAGUUGGAUCAUUACUUGGAGGUGGAUGUUAUAAAAAGAACACCGGAUUUUGACAUUUUAAAUUGGUGGAAGACAAAUGAAGUCAUGUAUCCAACACUUCAAGCAAUUGCAAAAAAUUUGUUAGCUAUUCCUAUUUCUAAUGUAGCUUCUGAAUCAGCAUUCAGCACAAGUGGUCGAAUAUUGAGUCCUCAUCACAAGUGGUUGAAUAUUGAAUCCUCAUCGUAGUCGACUUAAUUGGACUACAUUAGAGGCUUUGAUGUGUGCUAGGAGUUGGCUAUGGUCUGCUGAAAACGCUGGUAAAGUUUUAAAUUAUUAAAGUAUUGAUUCAAGUAUCAGAUUUAAUAUCUUAUAUUAUGUAAUAUAUUUUAUCUUAUCAUUCUUUGUUUUCAAUAUUGCUAGGAAAUUUGAAUUUCAGUUUCGCACAAGAAUAUGCUACUGUUUUAAAUGAAAUGGAGUCUGAUGAUGAAGGUAUUUUACAUUUCACUUGUUUUAAAUUAUUUGUUUAAUGGGUAUAUUUAAUUUUGGUUUUUAAAUCUUAAUACAGCUGAAGUGAUGAAGAGUAGUUUGAGUUAUUAUUUUGAAGAUUAGUAGUUGCUGCCUGAAUGUCUGCUGCAUCCAGAUAUUGAAGAAGACUUAUAUUUUAGUGUACUACAUCUAUGGAAGAAGACUUGUUAAUUGUUAUUGUUACUGAAUUAUGCUAUUGUUACUGAAUUAUUGUUAUUGCUUCAUCGAGAUAUCUAGUGAAUAUUGUUACUAAAUUAUGUGCUUUAUUGGUUGUGGUACUGAAAAUAUCCAUUAUUUAUGGUUGUGGUACUGAAAAUAUGCAUUAUUUAUGUGACAGUGAUGAACCUAGCAUAUGCUAAUUGCCUAAUUCAUAUGAAGACAGUGAUGAACCUUGCAUAUGCUAAUUCAUAUGCUAAUUGCUUAAUUCAUAUGAUGACAGUGAUGAACUUUGAUAUGCUAAUUGCCUAAUUCAUAUGAUAACAGUGAUGCUAAAGUAUGCAUUAUUUAUGGUGACAGUGAUGCUAAAAUGUGUAUAAUACACACUAAUGUUCACUGCUCAGUAUUUAUAUAUUUAUUUGUCGGGUUUACCCGUCGGGUUCGGGCUACCCGAAACCCGAUGGGUUUGGGUUGAUAUUCUUAUUUUCAAUCCCGUUGAGUUUGGGUUCGGGUUCGGGUUUUACAUUUCGGGUUCGGGAUUGGGUAAGGGUAAACCCGACCCCGAUCCGCCCCGUUGUCAUUCCUAAGCAAGAGGCACUACGCCAGAAUAGCAAAACAGCAGCGCUUAAAAUUGUCAUUUAACAGCGCUUUUGAGGCGCUUUCUAUGUGAGUGCAGUAGUACGUAAGGUUAUAUUCAAUAGCGUUUUUUGAAGUGCUCUAGAAAGUAGACAUUUAACAACUCUCACUGAAGCAAACGCUGUUAAAUGUCUACUUUCUAAAUAUGACAAUAUCUCUCAGAUAUUCUAUCAAACACAUGACAAUCAUGUCCAACUCCACCAUAAUUACAAUAGAUUUGUGAAAUCACCAACAACUCGAGCCACAUUCAACCUUAACAUAUUCCAAAACUAUAAAAUAACAUAUUAAUAAUGAGAUCUUACACAAAUUGUUCAUUCUUUCUCCUCCGAUGUGCAAGUCCUUACAGAGUGUUCCUGUGUUCCUCAAUGAUUAAUGCAAGCUACAAAUACAAAUAAAAAAUAUCAUCUCUAAACAAAUUGCAAAUGUUAUAAAAAAAUAAAAAAUUAGCAGCAAUUGAUAAAGAAUAUUUACCAUUACACUCAAACCUUGUGUUCUAACCAGUGAACCAUAACCAAAAUUCUAGAACAUCAUAGCUGCAUAACUUCACAACAAAUAAAGACUUGUUAUUUAUGGUGUAAAUACAAACAUCAAGACUGAAUCAAAAAGAAAUAAAUGAGCUAAAAUAAGAUAAUGAUUUACCUUAUAUGAAGUAUCGUCUUUAACAACGCUUUCUUCAAUAAGAGUUGUUAAAGAUAACACACCUUUAACAACACUUGCUUAAAUAAGCGCGGUUAAAGAUAACACCUUUAACAACGCUUAUUGAAGAAGUGUUGUUAAAUAUAUGAAGUAUGAUCUUUAACAAAUCUUUCUUCAAUAAGAGCUGUUAAAGAUAACACAUUUAACAUCGCUUUCUUCAAUGAGCACUGUUAAUUCUUUUUCCGCCUUAUAUUUAACCACGUUCAACACAUAAGUGUUGUUAAAUACCAAUUCUGGCAUAGUGAGGUGAUAUUUUUUUCAAGGCCAUUGAGAGUUACUUUUCUGCCCAUCCUGAGUACAACUAAAUUGAAUUCUAUCAUUGAAGAAGAGCUUCCUUAUAUAAAGUUUCCUUCCAUGUUAUACAUCUUGUGCUUUUAAGUUUUCCUCCUAUGUAAUGAUUAAUGAUUGUUCCUCUAUUCUCUUUCCUUUUUUUAUGCACAAGUGUGAGAUUAUAUGAGUUUGUAUUUCAUUUCAUCAAUAAAUUAAGACAAAAAAAAUUACAAGCACCUUCACAAUCAUGGUAGUUAAAAUUGAGAUUUUACUUAAGAUUGAGAUGGGUAUGGCGAAAGUAAUGCGAAAGCUUAAAAUGAAUAUUAUGGAUAAUUUUCAUUGAAUUGAUCAAGGCGUGAAAAUCCUUAUUUAUAGUAUAAACUAACUGGCUAACAAACUAAUAAACACAUGUUGUAAAAUAAUUCAACAUGUGUAAAAUGUGUAAAAAGUGUAAAAUGUUGUAGCUUUAUUCUCUAAUAGCCCCCUCAAGCUGGAGGGUAAAUGUAAAUUAACUCCAGCUUGAUCAUUCCAUUUGAUAUUGUGACAAUGUAAUGGAUCGAAAUCUCGAUCCUAACGUGAAUGAAUUUUCUCAAUCACUUGAUCUUGUUGUUGUUGAUCUUAUUGAUCUUGUUAUUGUUGAUCUUGUUGUUGUUGAUCUUAUUGUUGUUGUUGAUCUUGUUGUUGCUGUUGAUCUUGUUGUUGAUCUUAUUAAUCUUGUUGUUUGAUCUUGUACAUAUACUCCUUGAUGACACUUCUUUCUUCGACAACUUCCACUUCUCACAAAGUACAAAGGUGGUGCUGGUUUGGCAUAAUCCAUAGUAGAGGCCAUAGGAAUAGAACAAGGGAAAAAAAUUUUGAUAGAGCAGAACAGAGGAUCUUCAGACAAAUCAAAUAGAAAAUUAUUGCACGAAGUAAAAUGAUUCUCAAAUUCUUCCCUUUUUUCUUCCUUUUUUUUAUUUCUUCAAAAACUUCUCCGCUUUAUGUCGAGUUGGCUAUAACGAUUGAAAAGGUGGCUAUAACGAUUGAAAGCAAAGGAGAUGCUCAACCCAAUGAAGAAGAGGGCAAGGCUGCUAAGCCAAGAGGAGAUGCUUUUUUCAAGGCCAUUGAGAGUUACCUUUCUGCCAAUCCUAAUUACAACUAAACUACUCAACUCUGGCAUCGAAGAAAAGCUUUCUUAUAUAAAAUUUUCAUUCAUGCUAUCUAUUAUGUUUGUGCUUUUAUAUUUGCUUUCUAUGUAAUGAUUAAAAAGUUCUCUUUUCUUUUUCUACAAAAGUCUGAGAUUUUAUGACUUUGUAUCUUACUUCAUCAAUAAAUUAAUACAAAAAAUUUACAAGCACCAUAUUAUUAGAAAUGUGAUUGUUUGAAAGAUUUUAUAUUUUAUUACAUAUAUUGAAAAUCAAAUUUAAGCCAAACAUGAAUUCUUCAAGAUUGGAGAUUUUAUUUUUCAUAACAUAAACAUGAAAAUAACUACAAUAUGAAGAGUGAAUAUGGGAUCGAUGAGAUCGUCGAUUCAACCGACGAUAUGCUCCAACAUGGUGAUCUCACACAAUCUUAGGGAGGCUUGGCCAGAACUGAGAUAGGUUUAUUCCGUGUAAUAUAGUUUUCUUCCAUGCUAUAUUUAGUUUGUAUUUUUAUGUUUGCUUCCUAUAUAAUGAUCAAUAAGUGCUAUUCUCUUUCCUUUUUCUCCAAAAUUGUCAUAUUCCAUGAAUUUGUAUCUCAUUUCAUCAAUAAAUUAAUAUAAAAAAUUAUAAGCAUCAUCUAAUUAGAAAUAUGAUUGUUUGAAAGAUUUUAUAUUUUAUUACAUAUAUCCCAAAUCAAAUUUAAGCUAGACAUGAAGAAAUAUGAAUACUUGAAGAUUUUAAGUUUUCAUUUUUCAUAAGAUAAACAAAAAAUAACUACAAUAUGAGAAGAAGUAAUGAUAUUUGAGAAUACUAAACAAGUUUGUUACAUAUAUUAAUAUACAAGAAUGGAGAGCUAACUCACAUAGUCAUGUUGCCAUAUAUAUAAGGAUUUAAGAUGUUUAAAUAACAUUUUUAUAUGUGAGAAAGACUUAAAAAAACAAUUAUGUCUUGUAUUUAAAAGUAGUAAGUAAAAUUUUAAAUAGUUUUAAUGCUUUAUAGCUAAGAACUCUAUAAUUUUAUUUUAGAAUGUGUUCUAAAAUAUUAUAUGCACGAAUUUUUUACGCUGUAAAUUAAUCACCAACCAUUUAUAUUUAAUAAUAUUAUUGAAUUUUAAAUAUAAGUAAUAUAAGUAAGUAAUGAAUAAUAUAUUAUUUUUGUAGAAACUUUUAUAUUUACAAUAUAUUAUUUUAUAUGACGUUUAUAUGGGUUCGUUUUGUCGCAUAUGGUUCCUCACUAUUCAUCAAAUUAUACGACCCGGCAAUAACGAAUUGCUUCUAGAAUUGAAUAUUUUUCCUGUGAAAACUCAAAUCCACCUUCUUUGACCAACGAUUGAAAUUCUUUACACAAGACCAAAAGCUCUAUUUGUUUUUCAAUCAUAUUCAUACGUGACUAAUGGAACACGAGAAUCAGAGGUUAGAGAAAAAAUUAUAGAACCUUUUUCACCAAAUAAUCACCUAUUAAAAAUUUAUACUCAUUGCCUAAUUUAAAAUUUUAUUAUUCCUUCAAUUAUUUGGUAAUUAAUAAUUAUUUAUUGAUCAAAAGUUGUAUCAUGUUUGUAAAAAGUAUAAUGUGAUAUAUCAUAUAUUUUUGUUGUAAUCCAUCAUAAUCAUAAUUUAAUAAGAGAUUUAAGAGUAAAAUGGUAAACACACGCAUUUAUUUGAAUUUAAAAACGUAGAGAUUAAAAAACCUGUCAUAAAUAAAAAGAUUUAUAACUUUAGCUUUUAGCGGUGGCAUGGAUUUUUGUAAUUUCUAAUUUUACAAAAGUUAUUUAUUAGUCAAAUGAUCACUUCUUUUAAAUUUAAUUAUGUGUCAAUCUCUCAAGCCUUCAUGACAUGUGUCAACCUCUCAUCAAAACUAAAGGUCUCUCAUGACAUGUGUCAAUCUCUCAAUCAAUACUUUCCCUCCAAAACAUGUCAAUCUUCCAUUUUUGUUCAUUGUACAAUUUAAUUUUAAUGAUUAAACAAAAAAAAACUCACUCAUGAUAUGUGUCAAUCUCUCAAGCCCUCAUGACAUGUGUCAACCUCUCAGCAAAACUCAUGAGNNNNNNNNNNNNNNNNNNNNNNNNNNNNNNNNNNNNNNNNNNNNNNNNNNNNNNNNNNNNNNNNNNNNNNNNNNNNNNNNNNNNNNNNNNNNNNNNNNNNUUUCUUCCUUUUUUUAUUUCUUCAAAAACUUCUUCGCUUUAUGUCGAGUUGUUGACAAUGAUUCUUUGUUGAAUCUUGGAAGAUGAAGAUAAUAAUUUUAGAGAAUGUGCAACAUUGACCAAAGACUUCAAGAUGAAGGCUCUGAUACUGUAUGGCGAAAUUGUUGCGAAAGCGUAAAAUGAAUAUUAUGGAUAUUUCUCACUGAAUUGAUCAAGUCAUGAAAGGCCUUAUUUAUAGAGUAAACUAUCUAUCUAACUAACUAGCUAACAAACUAAUAAAUACAUGGUGUAAAACAAUUUAAUUUGUGUAAAAUGAGUAAAAAUGUAAAAAGUGUAAAAUGUGGUAGUUUUGUUCUCCAAUAAUGAGAGUCAUAAAUCAUAAAUGUAUGAUCAUAACACGACUUCUAAGAUCCUAGUGAUUAAUAUAUACUAGGGUUGGCAAUGGGCACAGGUAGUAGAUACCCGCUACCCGUUUCAAAAUAGGAGAGUAUUACCCAUACCCGCCCGUGUGCGGGUAUUCGUGGGUAUUUCUUGGUACCCGUGGGUACAACAGGUACCCGCGAGUUUCCUAUAUUAUAAAUGAAUUNNNNNNNNNNNNNNNNNNNNNNNNNNNNNNNNNNNNNNNNNNNNNNNNNNNNNNNNNNNNNNNNNNNNNNNNNNNNNNNNNNNNNNNNNNNNNNNNNNNNUGCGUUUCUACACAUGUAAUAAAUAAUAUUUGUAGGGCGUUUCACCACUAAACUCAAUACAAUACGUAAACAAAGUAAAAGGAAAAAAUAUAUAUAGUAUAAUGAAUGUUAGAAUAAUGUACUUUUUAUUUUAAUUAAAUAUAAUANUAUAAAUAAUGGGUACCCGCGGGCACGGGUACCAUAAUACCCGUACCCACCCGUAUGUACUACGGAUAUUUUUAAAAACCCGUUUAUAAUAUCCGCAGGUACCCGUUUGUGACCCGUACGGGUUUUACCUGCAGGUACCCACAAGUACGGGUUUUUGCCAUCCCUAAUAUAUACAUAUAAUCUCAUAUAGUAAAAAAUUUCAUAUUACAACUCAAUCCAUAUUUUUUUGACAUGUUUGCAUAAUAGGAAAAAAUUAGUAAUAGGACCAAUAUUUUAAAAAAUGAAACUAAAAUUUUAAAAAGCCCAUUUUUAUAUCCUAACUAAAUAAAAUAAAUUAGUGAAAUAAUCAUUAUUUUAAUGAAUAAAACUAUAAUAGUAAAAGAGCCCAUAUUAUAGUCCAUUCCUAAAGAACCAACAUUUUAAAGAAUAAAAAAAAUUGUAAAAAGCACAUAUUACACAUAACCCAAACCUUAUUUUUCCUAGGGUUUCCCAUUACGGUUUCUAACUUUUCCCUUCAGUGGUUUAUGUUCCUCCUUUCAUUUCAAAUAUGCCAUGGCUAGUGCGUGCUGGAUCUCACGACGAGAACAAGAAGGUUCGAUGUUUUUUUGCUCCAUGUUCUUAUAUUUCUACUUUUUUCAUGCAUCUUACGAAUCAAUAAAAGUGUUGGAUUGAGGGAGAAGAGAGAUGGAAAAAGCUGGUGGAGAAGAGUGAAUAUGGGAUCGAUGAGAUCGUCGAUUCAACCGACGAUAUGCUCCAACAUGGUGAGCUCACACAAUCUCAAGGAGGCUUGGCCAGAACUGAGAUAGGUUUAUUCCGUGUAAUAUAGUUUUCUUCCAUGCUAUAUUUAGUUUGUAUUUUUAUGUUUGCUUCCUAUAUAAUGAUCAAUAAGUGCUAUUCUCUUUCCUUUUUCUCCAAAAUUGUCAUAUUCCAUGAAUUUGUAUCUCAUUUCAUCAAUAAAUUAAUAUAAAAAAUUAUAAGCAUCAUCUAAUUAGAAAUGUGAUUGUUUGAAAGAUUUUAUAUUUUAUUACAUAUAUCCCAAAUCAAAUUUAAGCUAGACGUGAAGAAAUAUGAAUACUUGAAGAUUUGAAGUUUUCAUUUUUCAUAAGAUAAACAAAAAAUAACUACAAUAUGAGAAGAAGUAAUGUUAUUUGAAAAUACUAAACAAGUUUGUUACAUAUAUUAAUAUACAAGAAUGGAGAGCUAACUCACAUAGUCAUGUUGCCAUAUAUAUAAGGAUUUAAGAUGUCUAAAUAACAUUUUUAUAUGUGAGAAAGACUUAAAAAAACAAUUAUGUCUUGUAUUUAAAAGUAGUAAGUAAAAUUUUAAAUAGUUUUAAUGCUUUAUAGCUAAGAACUCUAUAAUUUUAUUUUAGAAUGUUCUAAAAUAUUAUAUGCACGAAUUUUUUACGCUGUAAAUUAAUCACCAACCAUUUAUAUUUAAUAAUAUUAUUGAAUUUUAAAUAUAAGUAGUAUAAAUAAGUAAUGAAUAAUAUAUUAUUUUUGUAUAAACUUUUAUAUUUACAAUAUAUUAUUUCAUAUGACCUUUAUAUGGGUUCGUUUUGUCGCAUAUGGUUCCUCACUAUUCAUCGAAUUAUACGACCCGGCAAUAACGAAUUGCUUCUAGAAUUGAAUAUUUUUCCUGUGAAAACUCAAAUCCACCUUCUUUGACCAACGAUUGAAAUUCUUUACACAAGACCAAAAGCUCUAUUUGUUUUUCAAUCAUAUUCAUACGUGACUAAUGGAACACGAGAAUCAGAGGUUAGAGAAAAAAUUAUAGAACCUUUUUCACCAAAUAAUCACCUAUUAAAAAUUUAUACUCAUUGCCUAAUUUAAAAUUUUAUUAUUCCUUCAAUUAUUUGGUAAUUAAUAAUUAUUUAUUGAUCAAAAGUUGUAUCAUGUUUGUAAAAAGUAUAAUGUGAUAUAUCAUAUAUUUUUGUUGUAAUCCAUCAUAAUCAUAAUUUAAUAAGAGAUUUAAGAGUAAAAUGGUAAACACAUGCAUUUAUUUGAAUUUAAAAACGUAGAGAUUAAAAAACCUGUCAUAAAUAAAAAGAUUUAUAACUUUAGCUUUUAGCGGUGGCAUGGAUUUUUGUAAUUUCUAAUUUUACAAAAGUUAUUUAUUAGUCAAAUGAUCACUUCUUUUAAAUUUAAUUGUUCAAAUAGUUUAUAUUAAUUGUUCCCAUUUCUCAAAACAACAAUUAUAUAUAUAUAUCAAAUUAUGUUGCAAAUGCUAUAUAUCAAUACCUUCUGGUCAAAUUUUGUAUAAAGAAACAAUACAUUUAUUUAUUUUGUAUAACGUAUACUAAUAUAUUUUCAAAUUAUAACAUAUAUAUCAAAAUCAAGGCUCCUAAGUGUACAUCUCGUCACUUUUGUUGACAAUUAUGGCUCUUAUAUAUUAAUAAGUGGGUAGAUAUUAUCCCCAAUAGUGAAAUGAAAAGGAUAGGAGCCCUAAUAACCUCUCUAUUCAGCACCUAUCCACAAUGAGGCAUACAAGCAGAGCUACCUAUAAAUAGAAGGCACUCCUUUGCUCAUAACUCACACAACAACCAUUCUAAUAUCUUCUUCUCAUAUAUUUUUCCAUUAUUCUUCCUCCUUUUACUAAUUAGUUUUUAAGUAUGGGUGUUUUUACAUUUGAGAAUGAAUCCACCUCUACUGUAGCUCCUACUAGGCUUUACAAAGCUUUGGUUGUAGAUGCUGACACCAUCAUCCCAAAAGCCGUUGAAGCCAUCCAGAGUGUUGAAACCGUUGAGGGAGAUGGUGGCCCUGGAACCAUCAAGAAGCUCACUUUGAUUGAGGGUUAGUAUAUUAUCCCAUAUAUCUUCUUCAUGCAUAAGAUAUAUGCUCAUGACAUAUCAUUAUACAAGGGAAAUUUCAGUUUCCUUUUAGUGUUUGUGAUGCUAUUUUUACGCAUGCUAAACUUUUAUUACAAAUACACAAACAUUUAUAGAACAAAGUCUAAGUUUUGCUCAACUCUAUAUAUAUUGAUUAGAAAAUAGCACAACUAACAAACAUUUUACAUAACAAGAUCUAAGUUUUUUGUUUAACUGUAUAUUUAUUAUAUCAACUGUCUAAAAACCAUUUAACAAAUUAAGAUGAUGAUGUUUAUGGAUGUUUGAUAUUUUUAUUGAGCAGGUGGGGAAACCAAGUAUGUGUUACACAAAAUUGAAUCAAUUGAUGAGGCAAACUUGGGAUAUAACUACAGCAUAGUUGGGGGAGUUGGGUUGCCAGACACAGUAGAGAAGAUAUCUAUUGAAACCAAAUUAUUUGAAGGACCCAAUGGAGGAUCAAUUGGAAAGGUCACUAUUAACAUUCAAACCAAAGGAGAUGCUCAACCCAAUGAAGAAGAGGGAAAGGCUGCCAAGGCAAGAGGUGAUGCUUUUUUCAAGGCCAUUGAGAGUUACCUUUCUGCCCAUCCUGAGUACAACUAAAUUGAAUUCUAUUAGUGAAGAAGAGUUUCCUUAUAUAAAGUUUUCUUCCAUGUUAUCCGGUUUGUGCUUUUAAGUUUGCCUCUUAUGUAAUGAUUAAUAAGUGCUCUUCUAUUCUCUUUCCUUUUUUAUGCAAAAGUGUGAGAUUAUGUGGAUUUGUAUUCCAUUUCAUCAAUAAAUCAAUACAAAAAAUUACAAGGACCUUCGUAAUCAUGAUGGUUAAAAUCGAAAUUUUACUUAAGAUUGGGAUGGAGUCAAAUAUCAUAAAUGUAUGAUCAUAACAUGAUUCAUAAGAUUUUAUUAUUAAUAUAUACAUAUAAACUCAUAUAGUAAAAAAUCUCAUAUUACAACCCAAACCUUAUUUUUUGAUAUACUUGCUUAAUAGGAUAAAUUAGUAAAAUGACCACUAUUUUAAAGAAUAAAACUACAAUUUUAAAAAAGCUCAUAUAACAACCCAAUUUCUUUUUGAUAUGCUAGCUAAAUAAAAUAAAUUAGUGAAAUAAUCAUUAUUUUAAAGAAUAAAACUAAGAUGGUAAAAAAGCCCAUAUUAGAGUACAUUCCUAAAUAACCCACAUUUUAAAGAAUAAAAAGAUUGCAAAAUACACAUUAUUACAUACAACCCAAACCUUAUUUUUCCUAGGGUUGCCAAUUACGGUUCCUAACUUUUCCCUCCGGUCGUUUUCAUUCCUCCUUUCAUUUCAAACAUGUCAUGGUAGCUAUAUGUUGGAUCUCAUGAUGAGAAGAAGAAGGUUCGAUGUUUUUUUGCUCCAUGUUUCUAUCUUUCUACUUCAUUUAUGCAUNNNNNNNNNNNNNNNNNNNNNNNNNNNNNNNNNNNNNNNNNNNNNNNNNNNNNNNNNNNNNNNNNNNNNNNNNNNNNNNNNNNNNNNNNNNNNNNNNNNNAUGAGUUGUUUUCUCUCCGAGGCUACAUCACUAACCAGAUGGAUGGCCUCGCCUCUCAGAAUCAACAAAUCCAAUAUGAACUUCAUUGCCUCUUCUCUAGGAUGGAUAGCAUGGUUAUUGAUGAAGACAAUUCGGAGCCUGAGUCUUAGAAUAUUUUUUGUUAGGAUCUUCUGGUUGUAUUAUUUUCAAAAUUUGGACAAAGUUUUAAUUCUGAUUAUUUAUUGUUUUUAAAGAUAUUGCUGCAUAUUCCUGGACAAGUUACUUUAUGAUGUUUUGUGUAUAAUUGUUCCAUGCCUGGAUUCAUAUUUGAAACAUCUUAUUUAUACAUUGCAAUACUUUCUUAUCUAUAUCUUAAUCCAUACAUGAGUAUAUGAUAUCAUAUUGAUAUAUCUUGAUUAUAUAAGUGUAUGUAUGCUAUAUAUAUUGUGCUGGAAUCUCUUUGCUUUUCUACUUUUUGAUGAAGUCAAAAGGGGGAGAAAAGUUGGGGGAAGUGUAUUUUCUGUCAAAUUAUUUCAGGUACAUUACUCCAAAAGAAAGGGGAGCAUACAAGAUAGGGGGCAUACUCAAGUCAAACUUCAACAUAUCUCAAAGUAUGCUGCUCUCAAGAAAACUACACUGUCAAAAGAUCUUGGUUUGUCAUCAUCAAAAAGUGGGAGAUUGUGAAGAUGAUCUUUGCUCCUGACCUCGGCAAGAUUUUGAUGAAGACACCAACAUCACCAAAAAUAAGAAAAGGAAUAUUACUUAUUAAGACCAAGAAGAUUAAAGCUUCAAGAAAAUUAGUCUAAGUCUAAUUAAGUACUUGUAUCAUAUACUCUUUAAUAUACUAAAGUAGUAAUGGUCAAAAUAUUUUAAAAGAAAUUGAAACACUUCAAGUUUUAAAUGAAAACAUUUUUCAAAAUAAUGUGUAACAAGUUACUGAAAUUUGAGUAAUAGGUUAUUGAAAUUUGAGUAAUAAGUUACAUGAGUUAGAAUCAGUUAUCCAACAAUAUUUAAAUUGGAGUAACCGAUUACUCAAAUUUGAGUAACUGAUUACUCUAAGUGAAUUUUGAAUUCAGUGUUGGACAUAGAGUUUGAGUUACCGAUUAUUCAAUGUAAUUUUUCAAAAUGUCACGUUUGGGUAACCGAUUACCCACUUAUUGUAAUCGAUUAUUGAGAGUUGUUACAUCAGUUUUUCAGAUUUGAAACUCAAGGGUUUUCAUCCCAAACAAAAUGCGUUCAUUCCAAACAAUUUCUAUUCUUUCAUAAAGGCACAAUGACUGAUUGGAAAGCCUAUUUAAAGGCCUUAGAACUCACAAUGAAAAAAAUCUUUCAACAACUCUUUCAUAACUCCUUCACACUUUUCUCACAACUUUCCUACACUUUUCUGAAAUAGUUUUCUGAACUUCUAGCAACUUGAACUCAAAUUUUCGAAGUUUUUUUUUUUGACUUGCUUGAAGUAAAGUGUUUUAAAGUUUUGUAAAUUUAAAAGAGCAUUAUUUACUAAGUAUACAAAAGAGUUGAUUGGAUUGCAAAUGUUAUUAUAUUUCAUACUUGUAAAGGCAAUCCAAGACAUCAUUCAAAUUCUUCAUUCAUUGUAAUUACUUUCUUUCACGGGGUGUGAAUAGAAAUGGAAUAGAGUUACUUGGAAAGGUGUUUUCCAAGCUGAUAAGUAUUAGUGAGUGUUUAAGGUACAUAGAGAUCUCGGUGUGAGAUAUUGUAAUUACAACUCAUAAUAUUUAGUGGAAAAUCUCUUGUGCUGCAAGAGUACUGGAUGUAGCCUUCGGUGAACAAGAAGGUGAACCGGUCUAAAAUCAUUGUGUAUUCUCUUCUCCCUUACCUCUUUGAUUUAUUCUUGUUUAUAUUCUGCAAUAUUAUCCGAUGCACUUUAACUCUUCAUUUUGCAGAAAAAGUGGUCAUAAUUUCUAGUCAACUAAUUCACCUCCCCCCCCUCUUAGUUGCAAUCUCAGUCUUACACUAUCUACAAUGGGGCAUACAAUUAGAAAUGCCUAUAAAUACAAGGCACCUAUUUGCUCAUAAAUCACACAACAACAUUUCUAACAUUAUCUUCUCAUAUAUCCUUUCAUUAAUGCUUCUUCCUUUUGCUAAUUAAUUCCCAAGUAUGGGUGUUUUUACAUUUGAGAAUGAAUCUACUUCUACUGUAGCUCCUGCCAGGCUUUACAAAGCUUUGGUUAUAGAUGCUGACAUCAUCAUCCCAAAGGCCAUUGAAGCCAUCCAGAGUGUUGAAAUCGUUGAGGGUAAUGGUAGCUCUUGAACCAUCAAAAAACUUAUUUUGGUUGAGGGUUAGUAUACUAUUCUAUAUAUCAUCUUCAUACAUAGAAUAUAUGUUCAUGGUAUAUCAUUAUAUAUGAGAAAAUUUAGUUUUCUUUUAGUAUUUGUAAUGCUAUUUUAACACAUGCUAAAUUUUUAUUACGAAAAAAGCAAACAUUUAUAGAAGAUGAUCUAAGUUUUGUUCAAUUAUAUAUUUGUUAGAAAAUAGCACAACAAACAAAUAUCUUAUAUAAGAGGAUCUAAGUUUUGGUUAGUUGUAUAUUUACCACAUAAAUAAUUGAGUAAGCCAAUUAAUUUGUUGAUGUUUAUGGAUGUGAUAUUCAUAUUGAGCAGGCGAGGAAACCAAGUAUGUGUUACAUAAAAUAGAAGCAAUUGAUGAGGCCAAUUUGGGAUAUAACUACAGUAUAGUUGGAGGAGUUGGGUUACCAGACACACUGGAGACGCUAUCAAUUAAGACCAGAUUGGUUGAAGGAGCCAAUGGAGGAUCAAUUGGAAAGGUGACUAUAACGAUUGAAAGCAAAGGAGAUGCUCAACCCAAUGAGAAGAAGAGGGCAAGGCUUCCAAGUCAAGAGGAGAUGCUUUUUUCAAGGCCAUUGAGAGUUACUUUUCUGCCAAUCCUAAUUACAACUAAACUACUCAACUCUGGCAUUGAAGAAAAGCUUUCUUAUAUAAAAGUUUCUUUCAUGCUAUAUAUUAUGUUUGUGCUUUUAUAUUUGCUUUCUAUGUAAUAAUUAAUAAGUUCUCUUUUCUUUUUCUACAAAGUGUGAGAUUUCAUGAGUUUGUAUUGUACUUCAUCAAUAAAUUAAUACAAAAAAAUUACAAGCACCAUAUUAUUAGAAAUGUGAUUGUUUGAAAGAUUUUAUAUUUUAUUACACAUAUUGAAAAUCAAAUUUAAGCCAAACAUGAAUUCUUCAAGAUUGGAGAUUUUAUUUUUCAUAACAUAAACAUGAAAAUAACUACAGUAUGAUGAAAAGAAGUAAUGUUAUUUGAGAAUACUAAACUAGUUUGUUGUAUAUAUUUAAUAUAUACAAGAAGGGAGAGCUAACUCACAUAGUCAAGUUGCCAUAUAAGUAUUUAAGAUGCUUUAAAAACAAUGUUAGAUGUGAAAAAGACUUAAAACAAUUAUGUCUUGUAUUUAAAAGUAGUGAGAAUAAUUUUAUAUAAUAAAUUUAUGAGGGUGAAAAUGAGGAAUGGCUAUGCAUGCUAUAUAAGAAAAGGUGGAGACUAACUUGUGAAUUUCAAGUUAGUUUGCGUCAAUGUGAACUAGUUUUUUGUCGUUGGAUCAAAUGAGUUUUAAUCUCACCCAUCAAAUUUGUGAUUGAUUACCAUUUUAGUAUAGAAAUCGUGAUCCAGCAAUAUGACUUAUGUUUAGUAUAGAAGUCAUGAUCUAGCAGUACGACUUUUGGUAGUUGGGAAGUCAGUAUACACCAUAACGACUUCAAUUAGUUUGGAAGUUGUUUUGCAGAAGUACUACUUUUGUGUACCUUAGAAGCCUGAUUGGUACAAUACGUCUUUUGUGUAUCUUAAAUCUAAGUUGACAAGUAGAUUAUUAUUUCUAAGUUUCAAUGAUUCGAGAUAAAUACAAAUUGAUCUCAUGGUUUAUGAGUUCUGACAACGUACAAUAGUAUUUAUUUUGUUGAAUAAGAAUUAUGUUUUGAACACAGCUUAGUGGGUCAUUUCUCUCCCAUGAUGUUCUACUGGUAUUAGAAACUUGGAAUUUUAUUUUAGAAAACACAUGUAAAAGUCGUACUUUUCAAAGACGACUUCAACAAGAAAGUCGUACUUCUCAAAAACGAUUUCAACAAGAAAGUCGUACUUCUCCAAGACGACUUCAUCAUGACCAGAAGUCAUCUUACACCAUCACGACUUCUACACUAAAAUUAUAUCAUGCCAUCACGACUUCUAAAAGUUUUCCAAAACUGUAUCCAGUUAUCAAAAAUUUUCAUCCAACAGCUAAUAUGCAGUUCGCUUCAAAUCGAAUUAAGAACUCUAUAAGCUUAUUUUUAAAUGUUCUAAAAUAUUAUGAUAAAAGAUAUAUAUAUAUAUAUAUAUAUAUAUAUAUAUAAAGUUUUUUAUACUACCAAUUCAUCAUCAACCAUUUAUAUUCAAUUAUAAUAUUAAUUUUUAAAUAUACAUAAUACAAAUGAAUAGUGAAUAAUAUAUUGUCUAUUCAUAAAUAUUUAUGUUUCCACUGAAUAUUUCAUUCUAUAUUAUUCCAUAUGACCAUUUAUAUGGGUUCGUUUUGUAGCAUAUAGUUCCUCACUAUUCAUCAAAUUAUACGACCAAGCAAUAAUGAAUUGCUAGAAUAAGGCUUCUAGAAUUGAAUAUUUAUCCUUUGAAAACUCAAAUCCACCUUCUUUGACCAACGCUUGAAAUUCUUUACACAAGACCAAAAGCUCUACUUUUUUUCAACUAUAUUCAUACGUGACUAAUGGAACACGGGAAUCAGAGGUUAGAGAAAAACAUUAUAGAAAUUUUUUCACCAAACAAUCACCUAUUAAAAAUUUAUAGUCAUUGCCUAAUUUAAAGCAUUAUGUUUUUCAUUUCCUUCCAAAUAACAGACUGUGUAUUAAUAAUUUUAUCAAAUAAAAUGGAACCGUUUGUGCCUGUUUAUAAAUUUUAAUUAGUAUUGCGCGGAAUGCAUGUGUUUUUCUUUGAUAUUAUUUUUUUAUUCAAUUAUUUAGUAGUAAAUAAUUAUUUAUUGAUCAAAAGUUGUAUAUUGUUUGUAAAAAGUAUAAUGUGAUAUAUCAUAUUUUUUAUUGUAAUCCAUCAUAAUUUAGUAAGAGAUUUAAGAUUAAAAUGGUAAGUACAUGCAUUUAUUUGAAUGUAAAAACUUAGAGAUUAUAAAAACUGUCGUACCUUUAGAUGUAGCAUGGAUUUUUGUGAUUUCUAAUUUUACAAAAAUUAUUUAUUGGUCAUAGGAUCACUUCUUUUAAUCUUGAUUAUUCAAAUAAAAUCCAAUUAUAUAUAUAUAUAUAUAUAUACCUUCCGUCAAAUUUUGUAUGAAGUAAUAAUACAUUUAUUUAUUUUGUAUAACAUAUACCAAUAUAUUUACAAAUUAUAACAUAUAUAUCAAAAUGAUGGCUCCUGAGUGUGCAUCUCGUCCCUUUUGUUGACAAUGGGUAGAUAUUGUCCCCAAUAGACAAAUGAAAAGGAUAGGUGGCUAACAACCUCUAUAGUCAGCACCUAUCCACAAUGAGGCAUACAAGCAGAGGUGCCUAUAAAUACAAACACUCCAUUGCUCAUAACUCACACAACAACCAUUCCAACAUCUUCCUCUCAUAUAUCUUUGCAUUAUUCUUCCUCCUUUUGCUAAUUAAUUUUCAAGCAUGGGUGUUUUUACCUUUGAGAAUGAAUCCACCUCUACUGUGGCUCCUGCUAGGUUAUACAAAGCUUUGGUAACAGAUGCUGACAUCAUAAUCCCAAAGGCUGUUGAUACCAUCCAAAGUGUUGAAACCGUUGAGGGUAAUGGUGGACCUGGAACCAUCAAGAAACUCACUUUGGUUGAGGGUUAGUAUAUUAUUCCAUAUAUCUUCUUCAUCCAUAAGAUAUAUUAUUAUACGGGAAAAAUUUAGUUUUCUUUUAGUGUUUGAGAUACUGUUUUUAAGCAUUCCAAACUUUUAUUACAAAAAAACAAACGUUUAUAUCAUUAUAGCAUAACUAACAAAUAUUUUAUGUAAGAAGAUCUAAGUUUUGUUUAAAUGUGUAAUUAUUAUAUCAACAAAAUCUACAAACCACUUAACCAAUUAAGGUGAUAAUGUUAAUGGAUGUUUGAUAAUCUUAUUGGACAGAUGGGGAAACCAAGUAUGUGUUACACAAAAUAGAAUCAAUUGAUGAGGCAAACUUGGGAUAUAACUACANNNNNNNNNNNNNNNNNNNNNNNNNNNNNNNNNNNNNNNNNNNNNNNNNNNNNNNNNNNNNNNNNNNNNNNNNNNNNNNNNNNNNNNNNNNNNNNNNNNNUGGGUUGCCAGACACGGUAGAGAAGAUAUCUAUUGAAACCAAAUUGUUUGAAGGACCCAAUGGAGGAUCAAUUGGAAAGGUUACUAUUAACAUUCAAACCAAAGGAGAUGCUCAACCGAAUGAAGAAGAGGGCAAGGCUGCGAAAGCAAGAGGUGAUGUUUUUUUCAAGGCCAUUGAGAGUUACCUUUCUGCCCAUCCUGAGUACAACUAAAUUGACUUCUAUCACUGAAGAAGAGCUUCCUUUUAUAAAGUUUACUUCCAUGUUAUACAUCUUGUGCUUUUAAGUUUGCCUCCUAUGUAAUGAUUAAUAAGUGCUCUUCUAUUCUCUUUUUUUUAUUAUGCAAAAGUGUGAGAUUAUAUGAGUUUGUAUUUCAUUUCNNNNNNNNNNNNNNNNNNNNNNNNNNNNNNNNNNNNNNNNNNNNNNNNNNNNNNNNNNNNNNNNNNNNNNNNNNNNNNNNNNNNNNNNNNNNNNNNNNNNUCAAUAAAUUAAUACAACAAAAUUACAAGCAUCUUCACAAUCAUGGCAGUUAAAGUCGACAUUUUACUUAAAAUUGGGAUGAGAGUCAAAUAUUAUAAAUGCACGAUCAUAACACGACUUGUAAGAUCAUACUUAUUAAUAAAACUCAUAUAAUAAAAAAACUCAUAUUACAACUCAAUCCUUAAUUUUGAUAUUCUUGCAUAAUAGGAUAAAUUAGUAAAAGGACCAAUAUUUUAAAGAAUAAAAUUAAAAUUUUAAAAAAGCCCACUUUUUUAUAUGCUAGCUAAAAAAUAGUGAAAUAAUCAUUAUUUUAAAGAAUAUAAUUAUAAUGGCAAAAAACUCAUAUUACAGUCAAAUCCUAAAGAACCCGUAUUUUAAAGAAUAAAAAGAUUGUAAAAAUUACAUAUUACACACAACCCAAACCUUAUUUUUCCUAGGGUUGCCCAUUACGGUUCCUAUAUUUUCCCUUCAGUGGUUUCUGUUCCUCUUUUCAUUUCAAACAUGUCAUGGUUGCUGCUUCCUGGAUCUCACAACGAGAACAAGAAGGUUCAAUAUUUUCUUGCUCCAUAUUCCUAUCUUUAUACUUCUUUCACGCAUCUUAUAAAUCAAUAAAAUAAGUUUGACGGGUUGAGGGAGAAGAGAGAUGGAAAAAGCUAGUGGAGAAGAGUGGAUAUGGGAUCGAUGAGACUGUCGAUGCAAUCGAUCUUACGCUCCUACAUGAUGAUCUCACACGAUCUUAAGGAGGCGUGCCCAAAACUGAGAUAUGUUUAUUCCAUGUAAUAUAGUUUUCUUCCAUAUUAUAUUAGUUUGAGUUUUUAUGUUUGCUUCCUAUGUAAUGAUCAAUAAGUGUCAUUCUCUUUCAUUUUUCUCCAAAAUUGUCAUAUUCUGUGAGUUUGUAUCUCAUUUCAUCAAUAAAUUAAUACGAAAAAAUUACAAGCAUUAUCUCAUUAGAAAUAUGAUUGUUUGAAAUAUUUUAUAUUUUAUUACAUAUAUGGCAAACCAAAUUUAAACUAGACAUCAAGAAGUAUGAAUACUUGAGGAUUUGAAGUUUUUAUUUUUCAUAACAUAAACAUGAAAAUAACUACAAUAUGAGAAUAAGUAAUGUUAUUUGAGAAUACUAAACAAAUUUGUUAUAUAUAUUAAUAUAUACAAGAAGGGAGAGCUAACUCACAUAGUCAUGUUGCCAUAUAAGUAUUUAAGAUGUUUAAAAAACAUUUUUAUAUGUGAAAAAGACUUAAAAAAACAAUUAUGUCUUGUAUUUAAAAGUAGAAUGUAAAAAUUUUAAGUAUUUAAGAUCCACUUACUCCAAGAGUAAGUUUUUUAAAUUUAUUCUACAUUCUAGCCAUCAAUUUUAGGGAAAUCCAAUGGUUUAAAUUAGUGAGUAUAUAUAAGCCAUUAGAUUUCCCUAGAAUUGAUAGCUAGAAUGAGAAGUAAGUUUAAAAAACUUACUCGUGAAGUCUCACUCAAUUUUAAAUAGUUUUAGUGCAUUUAAUGUUUGAUAGCUAAGAACUCUAUAAGUUUAUUUUAGAAUAUCUAAAAUAUAAUGAGAAAAAGAUAUAUACACGAGUUUUUUAUGGUGACAAUUUAUCAAUCAUUUAUAUUCAAUAACAUUAUUGACUUUUAAAUAUAAGUAAUACAAAUGAGUAAUGAAUAAUAUAUUAUUUGUGUAUAAACUUUUAUAUUCAUGGUAAGAGUAUAUAGAUAGAGAAAAAGACGUAUACACUAACAAUGUAAGACUUUUUACAAUAUCAUUACAUCAUCCACCAUUCAUUUUUAAUCAUCAUUUACUUUUAAACACAAGUAAUACAAAUGAAUUGUGGGUGACGCACUGACUAUGUAUAAAUCUUUACACUAUCAGUACAUAAAUAUUACACUGAUAUAAAUAUUACAUUCCUAUAUUAUUCAUAUCACAUUUAUAUGGGUUAGUUUUGUGGCAUACAGUUCCUCACUAUUCAUCAAAUUAUACGACCCUGUAAUAAUGAAUUGUUACGUUGAAUUCAGCUUCUGAUGACAACCUCAAGGGGGCUAUCUUAGAAUUAGGAUCGCUUUAUCUUGAAGUCUUGAGCUUUUUAAGUUGUAAUUCGAUUUUGGUGAAUUAUGGGGAAUUUGGGGUUGUUUUGGUGAGGGAAAUGGAAAAUAUUAGAAGGGGCAAGCGCCACAAGCAAGAAUGUUUGAUAAGCUAGUGUUAUUUGCCACAAGCUAGGAAGCUUGAUAAGAACUUGUUAAUGGUGACCACAACCAACCUAGGGUUUUUAGGAUAAGUGCUCUCAACUAAAACAACUUAGAUCUAAUCAAAAUUCAACUUAACUUUAUUAAUGACUAUUCAAUUACAUAAUUAGGCAAUCUGAAUGUCUUGGGCUAAAAUAAAAGACUAAGUCCUAAUUAACUUGCAUAAUGAAAAUCCUAAUUAAAACAUAGGCUAAAAAUAGAAAUGAAAUAAUAAUAUAACUCCAAAUUAAAUCAUGUAAAUGGUUGAAUUGUGGUGGAUUGCUCCUAUUUUUAAGGGAUUUGAAUCUGAUCCAAUUUUAGUUGAUAGGAAAUAGAUUAUCUCCUCAACAAACCAUAUUGAAGAUAUCUUUCCCUUUUUAGUUUUGAUAUAUCCCUUUUGGCCGACCGAAAUGAUGAUAGCUUUCCCUUGAAUUUCUCUAACCGUAUUGCUUGAAGAUAGACUAGAUUUGACCAAUUUGAAAUAGGCAAAUCUUUUCCCAACUGUGUGGAUUGAUUCCAAUCUGAUUUAGUCAUAGAUAUUUCACUAAAGCUCCUUCCUUAUCUCUAGGCCUUGUCAUUCCAUCAUUGUUGUAACUAGUUACCCUUGAACCUAAGUGAAGUACUUGGUCAUGAAUCUGGACCAUGUUAUAUAUGAAUCCCAACCCACAUUACAUAAAUUAAAUACUAACAUUUUUGACAUUAAAUAAACUAAACUUCUAAGACUAUAUGAGAAUGCAAUCUCAUUUAUUUGAUUCAAUGGAAAUAAAAUAAACUAAGUAGAAAGUGACCUACGGACAUAAAUGCCCUUCUCACAUACCCUAUCAUGGGUCAAUUGUAUCCUUUGAGACUUUAAGGACCCUUGUCUUGGCCUUGGUCCUAGUUGUAGGACAAUCAUGACUUCUCUUACUCUUGGGAUCAAAGGCUACCCUAGGAGGGUUUACAUCAUCCCUUUCGCCCUUCAAGUGAAUUCGUCCUUGAAUUUCCUUCAUUCUUAUCAUUCUUUCUAUCCUUGCCAUGAUCUUUCAAAGAAUGGCUAAGUAUAGAAAAAUUUUCAGCCUUGGAAGUAGGAACAAUGUAAAGUGUAGGUUCGGCCAUGAACUUGACUUUUGCCUCACUAUCCUUCUUUUCUUCUUCAAUCUUAGCCCUUAGUCUCUUUUGGUCUUCAUUGACUUGUUUAGGACUCAGAGGGGCUAACGCUACCAUGUGACCAUGAUGUAUAAAUGAGACUUUGUUCAACUAUAUAUAUAUUUAUUAGAAAAUAACACAACUAACAAACGUUUUAUAUAACAAGAUCUAAGUUUUGUUUGACUAUAUAUUUAUUAUAUCAACAAAAUCUACAAACCAUUUAACCAAUUCAGGAGAUGAUGUUUAUGAAUGAUUGAUAAUCUUCUUGAGUAGGUGGAGAAAUCAAGUAUGUGUUACAGAAAAUAGAAUCAAUUGAUGAGGCAAACUUGGGAUAUAACUACAACAUAGUUGGGAGAGUUGGGUUGCCAGACACAGUAGAGAAGAUAUCUAUUGAAACCAAAUUUUUUGAAGGACCCAAUGGAGGAUAAGUUGGAAAGGUCACUACUAACAUUCUAACCAAAUGAGAUGUUCAACCCAAGGAAGAAGAGGGCAAGGUUUCCAAGGCAAGAGGCACUACGCCAGAAUAGCAAAACAACAGCGCUUAAAAUUGUCAUUUAACAAUGCUUUUGAGGCAUUUUCUAUGUGAGUGCAGUAGUACGUAAGGUUAUAUUCAAUAGCGUUUUUUGAAGCGCUCUAGAAAGUAGACAUUUAACAGCACUCACUGAAGCACUCACGGAAGCAUGUAUUAUUUUCUACUUUCUAAAUAAGACAAUAUCUCUCAGAUAUUCUAUCAAACACAUGACAAUCAUGUCCAACUCCACCAUAUUUACAAUAGAUUUGUGAAAUCACCAACGACUCAAGCUACAUUCGACCUUGACAUAUUCCAAUACUAUAAAAUAACAUAUUAGUAAUGAGAUCUUACGCAAAUUGUUCAUUCUUUCUCCUCUGAUGUGCAAGUCCUUACAGAGUAUUCAUGUGUUCCUUAAUGAUCAAUGCAAGUUGCAAAUACAAAUAAAAAAUAUCAUCUCUAAACAAAUUGCAAAACUUACCCAAAAAAUACAAAAUUAGCAGCAAUUGAUAAAGAAUAUUUACCAUUACAUUCAAACCUUGUGUUCUAAACCAGUGAACAAUAACCAAAAUCCUAGAACAUCAUAGCUGCAUAACUUCACAACAAAUAAAGACUUAUUAUUUAUGGUGUAAAUGCAAACAUCAAGACUGAAUCAAAAAGAAAUAAAUGAGCUAAAAUAAGAUAAUGAUUUACCUUAUGCGUGAAGAGAAAAAACCAAAAAUCGAUAACUUGUUUGAAGAGAGAAACUAAAAACAAAAGAGAAAAAAAUGUCAUGAAGAAGAAGAAAAGUAAGAGAAAUAAUAAACUGAUUGAUAUGUGUAUUAUUAUAUGUGAGGUUUUGUUUUUGAAUUUAAAAAAAUUCAAGCUUACUAAAGGUGUUAUCUUUAACCGCGUUUUCUUCAAUAAGCAAUGUUAAAGGUGUUAUCUUUAACAACACAUGUUUAAGCAAGUGGUGUUAAAUGUAUUAUUUUUAACAUUGCUUAUUGAAGAAGUGUUGUUAAAUAUAUGAAGUAUCGUCUUUAACAGCGCUUUCUUCAAUAAGAGUUGUUAAAGAUAACGCACUUUAACAUCGUUUAUUGAAGAAGUGUUGUUAAAUAUAUGAAGUAUCGUCUUUAACAAUGUUUUUUUCAAUAAGCAUUGUUAAAGAUAACACACCUUUAACAGUGCUUGCUUAAAUAAGCGCAGUUAAAGAUAACACCUUUAACAAUGCUUAUUGGAGAAGUGUUGUUAAAUAUAUGAAGUAUGAUCUUUAACAAAUCUUUCUUUAAUAAGCGUUGUUAAAGAUAACACAUUCAACAUCGCUUUCUUCAAUGAGCGUUGUUAAUUCUUUUCCGCCUUAUAUUUAACAAAGUUCACACAUAAGCAUUGUUAAAUGUACAUUGUUAAAUACCAAUUAUAGCAUAGUGAGGUGAUAUUUUUUUCAAGGCCAUUAAGAGUUACCUUUCUGCCCAUCCUGAGUACAACUAAAUUGAAUUCUAUAACUGAAGAAGAGCUUCCUUAUAUAAAGUUGCCUUCCAUGUUAUACAUCUUGUGCUUUUAAGUUUGCCUCCUAUGUAAUGAUUAAUGAGUGUUCUUCUAUUCUCUUUCCUUUUUUAUGCAAAAGUGUGAGAUUAUAUGAGUUUGUAUUUCAUUUCAUCAAUAAAUUAAG
rnacentral:lncRNA from 1 species